AGCCGAGGCAAUGGCCUCUAUUGAUUUCUUCCUUGGCAUUUUUGCUCAUAGCCACUACUGCCACGGCUGCUUAUGAGCCUUACAUUUAUGCCUCACCACCUCCACCGCCUUACUAUUACAAGUCACCACCACCACCAGAAUAUUCUCCACCACCACCUUACUACUACAAAUCUCCACCACCACCUGAGAAGUCUCCCCCGCCACCUUACUACUAUCACUCACCACCUCCUCCUAAGAAGUCACCCCCACCACCUUACUACUAUAAGUCUCCGCCUCCGCCGAAGGAAUAUCCCCCACCACCUUACUACUACAAGUCUCCGCCACCACCGGAGAAGUAUACCCCGCCACCUUACUACUACAAGUCUCCGCCCCCACCCGAGAAGUAUACCCCGCCACCUUACUACUACAAGUCACCGCCCCCUCCGCCACCUUACUACUACAAGUCUCCGCCACCACCGGAGAAGUAUACCCCGCCACCUUACUACUACAAGUCACCGCCCCCACCCGAGAAGUAUACCCCGCCACCUUACUACUACAAGUCACCGCCCCCACCGGAGAAGUAUCCCCCUCCACCUUACUACUACAAGUCACCGCCCCCACCGGAGAAGUAUCCCCCUCCACCUUACUACUACAAGUCACCGCCCCCACCAGAGAAGUAUCCCCCUCCACCUUACUACUACAAGUCACCGCCCCCACCAGAGAAGUAUCCCCCUCCACCUUACUACUACAAGUCACCGCCCCCACCAGAGAAGUAUCCCCCUCCACCUUACUACUACAAGUCACCACCGCCACCAGAGAAGUAUCCCCCUCCACCUUACUACUACAAGUCACCACCGCCACCACCUUAUUAUUAGAAGUCUCCUCCACCUCCCUCUCCAUCUCCACCCCCUCCAUACUACUAUAAGUCGCCACCUCCUCCUUCUCCAUCUCCACCCCCACCGUACUAAUAUUUGUCUCCUCCACCUCCUAAAGGCUACUAAAUAUACAAUGUGUUGUUGAAACAUGUGUGAUCUUAGUUAUGUAAGAAUAAGUGUAAGUUUGUAAGCUUGUUCUAUUUCUGAUUUUUUCUUCAUCAAUGUUUUUGUGAAUAAAAGGAUUUGAGAUGGUAAAUCCAUUUGUAAGAAGUGCUGCUCAUUUUCGUUGUAAAAGUUAUUGUAAGCAAUAAGAUCUCGUAAUUUAAGGUUUCAUAAAAGUUAUAUGUGCAACUACUUUCAAUUUCCAUUGUCAUCUUUUUCACAACCACCAAGCGUAUUACUUCUUUAUAGAUGGAAAAUGCAGAGGCAAGCUUAUUAUUCUUUAAUAUUACCAUUCUUGAUGUGUUUGUUUAUUUAGUUGAAACGGUAAAUAAAAUGUACAUGAAGUACCGCACUGCAUCCAAAUUAAAUUUAGGAUAUAGACUAAGUUCAUGUAAUCUCAAUUUUGUCACAUUAUUAUUGGAUUUUAUAUAAAUAGCUAAUUUCUUUUCCUUCCGAAUUUCGACGGGAAGGAGAAUUUAUUAAGUAAUACAGAGAAGUGCACCUAGUAAUAUUUAAAGAGGAUAUAAUGAGCACUACCUUUCAUGAUGAUAAUGCCCAUGAACAAGUAAGAGAAGCUUAGAGUUUUAUUCCUACUCAAAUCAGAUUCUACGGAGGAGUUAUAUUCGUACCUUUUUAACGCUUUACAUAUAUGAUUAGAGAAUUAUGAGGACAUAAAUUCCGCUAUAAAUUUGUUGUUAUAUUUAGAGGAGUUUACAUGACUGGAGAAUUAUACACACAUAAAUUCUUUGAUGUCCAUUUUAAAUUAUAUUCCAAAAGGGAAAAUGUUUUCCGUUUAUGGUUUAAAAAUAGAAGCUUUGUGCUUUUUUUUUUUAAAAAAAAAAUCUAGAUCAUUCAGUGAAUAUUGGUUGUUAAUUUACUGCCAAAAUACUCGUAAGUUUAUUUAUUUAUUCUGUAAUGCAACUUUUGGGAUACAUAAUAAUCAUAUAAAUAAAUAAACUAUAUUGUAAUAUAUUUCAAUUAACUUGUUGACUUGUAUGAAAAGAGCGUGUCAUUACCUUUUAUGCCUAAUUAAAUUUACAAUUUUAGUCCCUAUGAUUUUUUUUUUUCAAUCAUUAAUUCCAUGCUCUUAUGAGUAGAAACAUAUGUAGAAUUUUGAUAUUUAAGAGUUGGUGGAGUUUCUAUGAUAUUUUGUACCUGUGGCUCAUCAUUUCACCACGGUGGGCAACUUCAUGGAUUUUGUCCUCUAAAAGGUAGCACUCUAACUUAAGAUGCCAUGUUCUUCAGAAAGUUAUCAAAUAGUUGAAUAGUUAUAUUAAGUUUAUUAUUGAUAAGAAUCUUAAUUAACUAGAUAUAGUACUUAAUAUACAAUGUUUUAUUCGUGAAAUUGUUGAACUAUUUUCACCAUUUUUCAAUGUCAUUUUCAGGAUGAGCUAUCAUUUGGAAUUUCAUUUUCUAUGGACUCUCACUUUUUCCCAUAACCACUUUUUUUGUUUAUAUUUUAUCAGAUUAAUUAUUCCUUGUUUGUUUAGAAGGAGCUUUCAUAUUGGAGAAAUACAUUACGUAUCUUAUAAAUCUAUGCAUCUUUACCUUUUUUUUUCCCAAAAUAAUUAAAAAAAAAAAAACCUCACCAAUGACCAAUCCAAUGUUCAAUAUGAAAAGUUUGAAGAAAAAAUGGUGUGAACUAAAACAAAAUAUAUAAUUUUGUCACAAUCCAAGAAAAAAAAAUCAUUAUAAAAUAUAAUUAAGAGGUAGCCACCUUCUCUACAUCAAUUUGUCACAAAACUAUAUCAGUGAGAUAUAUGCAAGACUCACCCAUUGGUACAAAAGAAAAUGAUCAAAGUGGAAGCAAAAAUGUGGUGAUAAUUUAGAUGAUCUCCACUCCCCAUUUAGUUUCAUUUAUUAAGUUAAUGUUUAAUCAAGAGUCUAAUUACUCAUUUUAUUAUGUUAUUAAUCAACUGCCGCCCCUUCCACUGGUUCAUUAUUUUUUAUGGAAUACAAAAAACAGACAAUAAUAUUCUUUGACAUAGCUAGGAAUAUAGCCCACUUGCAAGAGACUUACAUUCCAUCGCUCCCUAAUUUCCCGUGUAACAUCUUAUCUUGCAUCACAUCAGAGACGUGUUCGUUUGCACAGCCAUUUCGUGAAUAUAAAAUUGCUGCCGAAUAAGCAUCUAAUCAAAAGAAUUUGUCAACGGUAUAAAUUAAAAUAUAAAAAACGAGUAAAAGAAUUUGUCAAUAGGAUAUGGGAGGCCAUGGCUUCAAUCGGUUUGUGCAAUGGUCAAUGGCAUAUUUUUGCUCAUCGUCACCACUGAAUCCACUGAUCAUUUGUGCAUGUGAGUUGUUUUUGAGCAUUUAUUUUUCCCUUUAGAAGCAUAAGGAUAAGGCUAGUCUUCUUUUUGGGAGGACUUAUUGCUUCCAUUCGUUAAAAUUGGGCAUGUAAAAUGUCAAGAAAAAAUGGCCUAAGUGGCUAGCUAGAUGAUAUAAUGGAUGGUUACUACUCAAACCUAGCAAUAAAUGAAUGUCCGACAAGCAUUCAAAUGAAUGAAUAAAACCAAUCAGAUUAGAAUAUCUAUUUAUGAUAGAUUAAUGAAAAUACGAUUCAAAUAUAAGGUAAAUAAUCUCUCCAUUAAUUUUUUAUUGUUUCAGGCAGGGUUGCCAAGCCUCUGUCCGGGCUUCUAUAAGCUCAAUUCCAGCUCUCCUAUAUGAUUGAAUUAGAUCGGGCUAGGCCCUCGGACUUUUUAAUUAAAAAAGGUCGAUUUUUAAGUUUAUGAAGUUAAUACACUCACGCUUAUACUUUAAUAUUUUUAUUAUUUGGCUUUUAGAAUAUUAACGUGUAAAUUACUUUUUUUUUUCAAGUGAAAUAAUUAUCACAUUUUGUCUUCUUAGUAUAUAUUUCUACCUUUUUGUUCCUAUAGAUAUUUCCUCAUUUCAUCUUUGGUACUAGAGCGUAGUAAAAAAACACAUGAUUAAAGAUAAAUAUGACAUUUUAACUAACAAAUUAAUUAUUUGUAUCUAAGAUCUAGCUCUAGUGGUAAAGAUCAAUUUUCAUCGAAUUCAAGUCUUGGGUUUGAAUUUAAAUGCAUGGGUAAGUUAAUAAUAAUAAUAAUAAUAAUAAUAAUAAUAAUAAUAUCAAAUUAACUAGCUUUAAUUUGCAAAGGUCUUAGAUAAUCAAUUCGCUUGUAAAAAUAUCAAAAUUUUUUUUAAUCAAUGAAAUUUUCAAGUCUCUAGUUUUAGCACAAGGAAUGAAUUAAAAGAGUAAUGAUAAAUAUUUUACAAUUUUAUCCCAAAUGAUAAGACAUGUCAUGUGUCAUGUAUUAAGUGAUUGAUGAUUUUUUUAUAAAUUUUAAGUGGAUGAAAUAUAUUAUUUCACCAACCAGUAAAUGAAUAUGACAUCAUUUGAGAAGGAAUUUUAUGGUACAAUUUUGAAAUAUUUAUCACUACUCAAUUAUAUACAGUAUAAAAAAUCUAAUAGGGACCAAAAAUAUAAAAACAGAUUAAGAAUAAAAAAUAUAAAAGUCAAUUCCUAAUUAGGAGAAUGAAAGUGUCAUUCCCCUGUAAUCAUUUCACUAGAUAUUAUGUAAAUAUAUUAAGGCAAAAUUUUAAUAGAAAAUUGGUACCCAAACCUAACGUCUUUGACAUUGCUGCCAAGAUCACUCACAACUUACAAGAAUAAAAAAUUGGUAUUAAAUUUAUUAAUGUUCUCAAGGAAUUUUUAGCUUGACUUUACAUUUCUCGGACCCAUUUGUCACAUAACACCUUAGUUCGUUAACAAAGCCCUUUCAUGAGAAUAUUAGAACUGCUGUCGAAUAAGCAUCUUAACAACCCCUUUUUGACAUACAUGCAUGCCUCCUUCUGUGAACAAUUUGAAACAUAAAAUAAAAUUUCAAUCGAUGUGAGGGUUGGAGUAUUUUAUAGCUUUUGACCUCAUUAAUUAUGAGUAAGAGAAUAUUUCUACGUCACUAAUGGUUAAAAUGAUCACUAUAUAAAGGGUAGCAAAGUAUGUUUAACAUCAAGUCAGAAAACACAAUUUUUAGGAAAUGGGAACUCGGGGACAAGCGAGGCAAUGGCCUCAAUUGUUUUGUGCUAUAGCAUUUUUGCUUAUAACCACCACCACCAAGGCAUCGGCUGAUGAUUAUGCCUCAGCACCACCACCAAAGUAUUCUUCUCCACCUCCUUACUACUACAAAUCACCACCUCCUCCUUCUCCCUCUCCACCUCCACCAUAUUAUUACAAGUCUCCCCCACCACCAUCUCCGUCUCCUCCACCACCUUACUACUACAAGUCACCACCACCACCAGUGCAUUCUCCCCCGCCACCUUAUUACUACAAAUCUCCGCCGCCACCAAAGUAUUCUCCCCCGCCACCUUAUUACUACAAAUCUCCACCGCCACCAAAGCAUUCUCCCCCACCACCUUACUACUACAAAUCUCCACCGCCACCAAAGCAUUCUCCUCCACCACCUUACUACUACAAAUCUCCACCACCACCAAAACACACCUUACUAUUAUAAAUCACCACCUCCACCAAUGAAGUCUCCACCUCCGCCAUAUUACUAUAAAUCACCACCACCACCAAAGCAUUCUCCCCCGCCACCUUACUACUACAAGUCUCCACCACCACCAAAACAUUCCCCACCACCACCUUACUACUAUAAGUCACCGCCUCCACCAGUAAAGUCUCCACCACCGCCCCCAAAGCAUUCUCCCCCACCACCUUAUUAUUACAAAUCACCACCUCCACCAGUGAAGUCUCCACCUCCGCCACCUUACUAUAAAUCACCACCACCUCCAAAGCAUUCUCCCCCUCCACCUUACUAUUAUAAAUCACCACCUCCACCAAUGAAGUCUCCACCUCCGCCAUAUUACUAUAAAUCACCACCACCACCAAAGCAUUCUCCCCCGCCACCUUACUAUUAUAGAUCUCCACCACCACCAAAGCAUUCUCCCCCACCACCUUACUACUAUAAGUCACCACCUCCACCGAAGAAAUCCCCACCUCCACCAUAUUAUUAUAAGUCGCCACCACCACCAAAGCAUUCUCCCCCACCUCCUUAUUAUUACAAAUCUCCACCACCACCAAAGUAUUCUCCACCACCACCUUACUAAUACAAAUCUCCACCAACGCUAUCUCUAUCCCCACCUCCAUCUUACAUUUAUAAAUUCCCACCUCCACCAUCUAUAUCACCUCCACCACCACCUCCAUCACUGUCACUAUUGCCUCGCUACUGUUCCAAGUCAUCACCACCUCCUGAAGACUACUAAGUUCAAUGUUCCGUCUUCAAACAAAUUUAAAAUUCAAUAAGAAUAAAUUUGUUCCUUCAGUUGCCUUUUUCAUGAAUUUUUAUGUUAAUGUUUUUACGAAUAAUUUUUAAGAAGCGUUCGGUGUAUCAUUGUCAUGUGCAAUAAAAAUUUUCUAACUUAAUGUACCCAAAAAAAAAUGUUCCACAAGAAAUAUUCUAUUGUUUUAUCACAAAUGUGUUGUGGCACAUGUAAUGCGCCUAGAUAAAGUAAUAUUAUGUCUUGAUGAACAAUCAUGCACAACAAUGAUCAUGUACAUAGUUCUUCCAAUGUCAUGAUAAUGUCCAUGCACAUAAUAACAAACUUCUUCCUUGUAAUAUCAAAGAAAAUGAAUAUACAAGCCUCUUAUUCUCUAAUCAUUCACUCAAACAACAUUGUUUUAAUUUAGGUUUUGAUCAAUCUUAAUGCUCAUAAAUGCUAACUACAAAUCAUAUACAAGAUCAACAAAAACCAUAUUUUAAAUGAAUUAGAAAAACAAACAUUAGACUUAACCAAGUAGUUAACCUUUAUUAUUCUCCUAGGUAGAUUACAAGCUAUCACUGAAAAAAAAAAUCAUCUAAAAUGGUGAACAAAUGCGCUCUAAAUCAGUUGCAUUCAUUUGUUCAGCUAAGCAAUAAAAUAACCCUUUUCCAUUUUAACUUAUAUACUUUGGCAUGGUAACUUUAAAUAACACCCUCAACUUGACAAAUUUUAAUAACCAAAGCGAUCAAUAACUGUAAAUCUUGACAAAAUUUUUUACUUUAGUUAAAGCCAUAAACAUAGUAUUAAAUAAAAUGAAAAAAAAGGCCAUAAACAUAGUGUUGAAAUACCUUUAUACUUGUGAACUAACUUUUGAUGUUGAUUAAGCUCAUGUACCCUCAACUUUUGUAUUAUGAAUAUGCUUAUGCCCUAUCUUAGGUCUCCUCUAUGAACUCCUCCAUGAACCACUUUUUUUUUUUUUUUUAAAAAAUAAAUUCAUUAUGAUACUAAGGUAUAAGCAGAAGUAAAAUUCCUUUAAUAUUAUUGUAAUCAGGAUGUGGCUACCUAGGUGAUACAUGAAUUGGUUAUUUGUACAUUUUACUACAUUUUUUUGAGUUUGCUUGCUAUUUUUCUCUUUGUUCCAAUAAUUCCCACACGAGGAUAAUCUCAUUUUAACAAAGAAAGAUACUACUGAAAUACAACAAAACAUAAAUUCUAAUAUACUAGAAAAUUUUUUUUUCUUUGCCUUUUCAUAUCUUAGAGUUAUGUUUUUAUCCUCUUGUAGUGGCAUAUAUGCAUUUUAACUAGAAUAUUCUUAUUUGAGAAUUAUUAAUAAGAGAGUGGUAGACAAAUGAUACAAAACUAUGCUGCUUCACGAUUAACAACACAUUCAAUCGAGUAACGAUAGAGAGUCAAUUCUAACACCACGAGAAAGCAAACAAAAGUUGAAAUAUUUUAGCGAAUACCUUUUAAAGUUUGAAUUAAUAAUAAAAUUGUCCCAAAAAACUGCCUUAAUGGAAUUAAUGUGGAGAUUUAGUGGUAGGGUGCAUCAAUAUCAUUUUCCAGAAAAAAAAUAGUCAAAAUAUGAAAGGUUUGUUCUGCAGGUGGUUGAUAUUGCUGUACAUUAAUAUCAAUGAUACGUACCAAAUUCUAUUAUAAAAUUCAUUAAUGUAUAAGUAGAAUAUUUAAUAAAUUAAUUCCGGGUAAAACGUCGGUGAUAUGAACAGUAGCGAAGCUGCAACCGGGUUAGCUUUUUUUUUUAAUAAAAAAAUAGUUAAUUAUAAUUUAUGAAUUUGCCUUUAUUAAUACUUAAAAAAAUAAAAAUAAAUUUAAUAGCCCACCCCGAUGCUAGCUAAGCUAAAAAUAAAAUAUAUCGAAUAAAUGGUGAAGAGAAAGCUGUAAUAAUUAUCGUAAUUACAGUGAGAAGCUGUAAUUUUCUUGAACACGCUUUGACGUACGAUUAGCAAAAAAGUCGUCUGUCUAUAAGCAAUUGGCCGUACAGCAUCUUAACUAUUCCGUUGACAUUGUAAUUAAUUAAUUGAUGACUUUUCUAUAAUUUCUUUGAACCAAAUGCAGAUAUUUAGUGGGCAACCCGCAACCCUUGCUUGGCAAAAUAUAGGAAAGAAAAACUUGAAAUUUAUAAAUGUUACAUUUUGUUUGGAUGAAUAAUUUUGAGAUAAUGUUUCAGUUUUAGAUUUUGUUACCGAUACCUAAUUAUAAUAAUAAAAAAUAUUGCAUCAUUUUUUUACCAACAGUUACAAUACAUUUUAUUUUUUUUUCUUCUCAAUAUUUAAACUCGAAUAAUCAGUUAAAAGUUGCUCGAGAAUGUUUAAAAGCCAUUUAAGUAUACCACGUCAUUCAUGUUUUGCAAUCAUUCAAUUGUUAAUAAGUUUCCCAUGUGCUGAAAAUAAAUAAAAAUGCACGUGCAUAUGUCAUAUUGUCUCCGAAACCUCACAGCGGAAUGAGUGUAGUACUUGCAAUGCAUGUACUUUAGACUUUGUAUUUCUCUUAUUUAAAUGAUCAAUAAUUUUUCUUUGUCCUUUAAUUAGACGUCAACAGUCGAAGUUGUGGGCAAGUAGUAGGCUAUAUAUAAUAAUUUCCUGGAGAUCUUCCGUCUUCUAAGACAUUGCAAAUGCCAAACGUGAUAACUAUUUUGAUAAUUCAAAUACUACAUAAAAUAUAUGAAGUGUCAGACAAGUCAAAAGAAUUGAUUCUUCACAAUUGUAUAUACGUAUACACACACUUUGCCCAAAUCCCAUUGUAUCCAGGCUGUAAUUUUUAUAUUAAACGAACAUAUUUUAUUUUAUGUCAGCAAUAUUGAUGCAGGCUGGUGGAACAACAGCUUCAGGAUGGUCAACUACCCUUCGGAUCAUUGCAAGUGGGAUGGCAUCACUUGCAAUUCAGAUGGAACCAUAAUCGGGCUAAAAUUAUCAGGGUAUGAUGUUGACUUCAAAAGGUAGUCUUCGUAAAAUUAUCAUGGUAUAAUAUACGUAUUUAUUUUCGCAUACAUAAAUAAAUAACAAAAUUGUAAUUAAUUGGAUACAACUUCAGCUUUUGGACUGGUUUGUGAAAAUCGGAAAAAUUUAAAAAUGCUCCUCUUGAACAAUCAAAAUCUACUUUAUACGUGAACAAAGGGGAUGAUUCGUAAAGAUAAUUCAUCAAUGUUUGAUUACUUUCAGAAAGAUAGACUUCAUUUGAUCUCGUCCCAAAGCAUAAUUUCACUUUGAAUUUGAAAAAGAAUAAUGAAGUUCAUACGAUGCUGUUGUGACCUUUUUUUUUUGUUUUCUUUUUUUCUCGACGUUGUUUUGUGAAUCAUAAGGGUUAAUUUAGUACGGUGGGUUCGCUUGUAUGAAGCGUACUUAUUGUACCAUUCUGUUGCAAGUAAUGAAAAAACGCUAUAAUUUUUUUUAGGUUUCUACAAGUAUUAUGUUAUCUUAUAUCUAACUGUGCAUCUCUAUUCUUUGCUCUCAGUUCAGGUUCUCUAAAAGUAUAUUAAUUAUGAAAAGCAUUAAAGGUUCCGAAACUCUAUUUUGCGGGGAAAAAGAACCUCCAUUUUUGGUUUUUUAUUAUCAUAAGAGGUUUUACUAUGCUCGUAAUAACUUAAUCGAAAUUAAACAUAUCACUGGUCUACAUUUUUUUAUCAGAUUUUGUGCCUUGCUAAUUAAGAUGAGUAUCACCAUCAAAUCAACAAGCUUAUACCUUCAAAGAAAAAUAGACUAUAAGUCGGGAGAAAGAAGAAGAAAAAAAAAAAGAAGCUUCGCAAUUUAUGCUGUUGGUUGUGAGUUCAUGAAACAAAUAAAAAUAUGAAAUCAAACAUUUAUUCAAAAUUUAAAAUUAAAAAAAAAACUCUAUAUCUACAGUAAUCUGUUCAAACCACAUAGGUGGAGCAAUAUAGUUCCAAGACGUGGUUUUAAAACAUGUCUUUGUGAUAAACAAUAUCGUGAUACUUGCGCCAAUUCCCAUGGCAAUAAUUGCCUACAUUUAUCCAAGAUCCAUGGCCAGGUUUAGAAUGUGCUAGUCUUCUUUCACUUUCAUAAAUAACCACUACUAGGUAAUCAGAGUGUCGGUCUAAAUUUUUCGGAGAUACAACGUCAAUGUAUGUGCCCGGAGUUGAAGCUGAACGCGCUUAAAUAUGUUCGGAAUUUGAAGUUGAACGCCUGGAAAAGGAUGCAGACUGAAGAAAGGCAAUUCCUGGAAUUUGUCUUUGGUAAGAAAACAUGGCUGCUUAUGCCCUUUGAAAGACUGAAGAAACCAAAUUGAUUAUUGCUGCAAUUUAGUGGCACAUGUACGAGGAGAGGCAUCCAAUUAAACUUGUUCAUAAAAGUAUUGCUGAUAGUUGCAGCCGAUCUCCAGACAAAAUCUUCGUACAAUUUUAUCCGCCAGCAAUUUCGACCAAGAGACCUUGAUGCAGUUCAGACCAAUUCGCCAGUUGAACAUCAAGUUGCCUAGGCAUUGAGAAUUAGGUCAAUAAAAUAUAUCCUGGGUCACUUACAAAAGAUGAAAUAAGUGAAAAAGGAAAGAUGACGUAAUAAUUUCUUAGUGAGAAAAGUUAGUUAAUUUUCAAUUGCUUUCAUUGUUUUGAUAAUUUUCAAAACAUUUCAUUGCUUUCAUUGCGUAAUUAAGCUUUUUUUGCUUCAAAAUAUUUCAAAUUGUGUUUGUGGGACUACUAAACAAUUAGGACACAACAAUGUUUCGUUCUGGUCUUUUUUUUUUUUUACUUUUUAAUUUAUUUUAAGAAAAUCUUUGUCCAUCUCUCAUCCUGCCAAAUAUAUCGUCUCGUCUUGUUAUCUAGAAUAAUUCUUCAUGCAUCAAUGAGUUUUGACAAAUUUUUAUCUUUUAAAAGUUGUUGUAAUUCAAUAUAGCUAAAAUCUUAAAUACAUACAUGUAGAAUAAUCUAAGCAUUACCUUAUUCGGGGAAAAUCGAGAUUAGAAUCAAUCAAAGCAAUGAUACCUUAUAUCAGUGAGAUAUAUGCAAGACUCACCCAUUGGUACAAACGAAAAUGAUCAAAGUGGAAGCAAAAAUGGAAUCCUCAAAUGUGGUGAUAAUUUAGAUGAUCUCCACUCUCCAUUUGGUUUCAUCUAAUAAGUUAGUGUUUAAUUAAGAAUUUAUUACUCAUUUUAUUAUGAUAUUAAUCAACUGCCGUCCCUUCCAUUAGUUCAUUAUUUUUGAUGGAUUACGAAAGACAGACAAUAAAAUUCUCCAAAACUGUUGUAAGAGUAAUAUUGUAAAAGUUACAUAAAAGUGAGGAUAAGGAUAAUUUGAGGUAUGUUUCAAGAUAUAAAGAUUAAAUAAAUUCUUAACUCAAAAUAAAGAGAUUUAUUUUUUUUAAAAGAGAUUAAAAUGUCAUGAUAAAUAAAUAAGGGAGGUGAUAUUCUGGGCUCUCCCCUGGCUUUUUGUGAUAACAUCUUAAAUUAAUAUAAAUAGUUAAAAUUUUAUUAAAAAAUAAAUUUUUACCUAAUACUCUUUGACAUAGCUAGGAAUAUAGCCUACUUGCAAGAGACUUACAUUCGUUUGCACAGCCCUUUCGUGAAUAUAAAAUUGCUGCCGAAUAAGCAUCUAAUUAAAAGAAUUAGGAAUUUGUCAACGGUAUAAAUUAAAUAUAAAAAACGAGUAAAAGAAUUUGUCAAUGGGAUAUGGGGGGCUAUGGCUUCAAUCGUAGGGGUGGGCAAAUUUCGGAUUCCGAAUCCGAUCGGAUUUUGGAUAAUUCGGAUUGGGAAAAAAUCCAUCCAAAUUCAAUCCGAACCUUAAAUCUGUUUCGAUCCGAGAUAAUUUCGGAUCCGGAUCAGAUUCGGAUGAGUUUGAAUUUCAGAUUAUAUUUCAAGUUCGGAUUAUAUUUUGGAUUCGGAUUAAUUCGGGUUUGGGACCUUUUUACAAUUCUCACAAAAAAAUUAUGAAAUUUAUAAUUAAUGAAAAAUAAUUUCCAUGAUGCUGUCAACAAUAAUUAAUAUUUUGAAAACGCAAUAACGGAAUUUUCAAAAAAAAGAAAAAGAAAACACAGGAACGGUAUUGAUAAAGAAUUUUCAUUAGCCAUUUGUGACUGCUAACUAAAUUGUAACAACUAAGUAAAAUAUAAUAAUAAUAAUAAUACAUGCGGGUAUAUUCAAAGCAACUAAAUCACUUGCGAAUGAUCAAGACAAAUCGUAUAAACAAGUAAAAAAUUCAAAGUUUCAAACGCAAAUCGUCGGGGGCUAUCGGAUUAGUGGAUUACCAUUAACAAGACGAGGUUUAUGUCGGUGUGAGUUGCUCAUUGUGGGUCUGGAUGAUGUCGCGAUGGCUGGGUUUGUGCCAACUAUGAUCCAGCUAGGUUUGUAUCGAAUCUGAUCUCGUCUAGAGGACGUUGUGGCGGCUGGGUUUGUGUCGAAUUCAUUCGGUUUGUCUCGUCGGCGACAUGGUUGUUGGUUGGCUCGUCAGGUUGUGGCCCGUGGGUGUGGUGUGGUUUGUUGUCGUGGAUUGACUUAUCAAAGGGCGUGCGACGAUGGUGUGUGGUUUUGUCAUUUGGAAAUUGAGUUUUGAUUUUUCAUUUUCGUUUUUUUAAAAAAAAAUUUUUGGAUUAUUCGGAUUGAACUGAAUCUUAUCCGAUCCAAAUCAAAUCCGAUCAGAUUACAAAAAUUUCAUCCGAUUGGAUUUUAAAGCAAAUCCAAAUCCGAUCCGAACAAAUUCGGAUCGAAUUGGAUUAGAUCGGAUCUAUCCGAAUCUGAUCCAAUGUCCACCCCUAUUCAAUCGGUUUCUGCAAUGGUUAAUGGCAUAUUUUUGCUCAUCGUCACCACUGCAUUCACUAAUCAUUUGUGCACGUGAAUUGUUUUUGAGCAUUUAUUUUGCCUUCGUUAAAAUUGGGCAUGUAAAAAUUUCAUGAAAAAUGGCCAAAGUGGCUGGCUAGGUGAUAUAAUGGAUGGUUACAACUCAAACCUAGCAAUAAAUGAAUGUCCGACAAGCAUUCAAAUGAAUGUAUAAAACCAAUGAGAUUAGAAUAUCUAUUUAUAAUAGACUAAUUAAAAUACGAUUCAAAUAUAAGGUAAAUAGUCUCUCUAUUAAUUUUUUAUUGUUUCAGGUAGGGUUGUCGAGCCUUUGUCCGGGCUUCUGUAAGCCCAUUUCCAGCCCUCUUAUAUGAUUGGAUUAGAUCAGGCUCGGCCCACCAGGCCGGGCUAAAUCUUGAGCUCUUUUUAAAUAAAAAAAAGUUGAAUUUUAAGUUUUUGAAGUUAAUAUAUAUACACACACACUUGUACUUAAAUAAUUUAUAAAUUUUUUAAAAGCCAAAUAAUAAAAAUAUUGACAUGUAAAAGUACAAUUUUUUUUUCAUGUGGAAUAAUUAUCUCAUUUCUACCUUUUUGGUCCUAUAGAUAUUUCCUCAUUUCAUCUUUGGUAUUAGAGCAGUAGUAAAAAGACACACGAUUAAAGAUAAAUGUGACAUUUUUACCGACAAAUUAACUAUUUGGAUCUAAGAUCUAGCUCUAAUGGUAAAGACUAGUUUUUAUAGAAUUCAGGUCCUGGGUUUGACUUCCAAUUGCGUGGGUAAGCUAAUAAUAAUAAUAAUAAUAAUAACAAAUUAACUAGUUUUAAUUUGCAAAGGUCUUAGAUAAUCAAUUCGUUUGUAAAAACAUCAAAUUUAUUUUCAGUAAUGAAAUUUUCAAGUCACUGGUUUUAGCACUAGGAAUGAAUUAAAUAGAGUAAUGAUAAACAUCUUAAAAUUUUAUCCCAAAUGAUAUGACAUGUAAUGUGUCAUUUAUUAAGUGGUUGGUGAUUUUUCAUAAAUUUUAAGUCGAUUAAUUAUAUUAUUUCACCAACCAAUAAAUGAACAUCACAUCAUUUGAGAAUGAAUUUUAAGGUAAAAUUUUAGAUAUAUAUCAUUACUCAAUUAUUUUUUAUAGUAUAAAAUCUAAUAGGGACCAAAAAUAUAAAAACCAAUUAAGAAAAAAAAAGUCAAUUCCUAAUUAGAAGAAUGAAAGUGUCAUUCUCCUAUAAUCAUUUCUCAAGUUUUUAUAUAAAUUUAUUAAUGCAAAAUUUUAAAAGAAAAUCGGUACCUAAAACUAACGCCUUUGACAAUGCUGCCAAUAUCACUCACAACUUACAAGAAUAAAGAAUUUGUAUUAAAUUUAUUAAUGUUCUCAAAGAAUUUUUAGUUUUGACUUUACAUUCUCAGACCCAUUUGUCACAUAACAUCUUAGCUGAUUAACAAAGCCCUUUCGUGAGAAUAUUAAAACUGCUCUCGAAUAAGCAUCUUAACAACCCCGUUUUUGACAUACAUGCAUGCCUCCUCAUGUCAGCAAAUUUGAAACAUAAAAGAUAAUUUCAAUCGAUGUGAGAGUUGGGAGUAUUUUAUAGCUUUUGACCUCAUUAAUUAUGAGUAAGAGAAUAUUUCUACGUCACUAAUGAUUAAAAUGAUCACUAUAUAUAUAAAGGGUAGCAAAGUAUGUUUAACAUCAAGUCAGAAAACACAAUUUUUAGGAAAUGGGAACUCGGGGACAGGCGAGGCAAUGGCCUCAAUUGUUUUGUGCUAUAGCAUUUUUGCUUAUAGCCACCACGACCAAGGCAUCGGCUGAUGAUUAUGCCUCAGCACCACCACCAAAGUAUUCUUCUCCACCUCUUUACUACUACAAAUCACCACCUCCUCCUUCUCCCUCUCCACCUCCACCAUAUUAUUACAAGUCUCCCCCACCACCAUCUCCGUCUCCUCCACCACCUUACUACUACACGUCACCACCGCCACCAGUGCAUUCUCCCCCGCCACCUUACUACUACAAGUCACCACCGCCACCAGUGCAUUCUCCUCCGCCACCUUACUACUACAAAUCUCCGCCGCCACCAAAGCAUUCUCCCCCGCCACCUUACUACUAUAAGUCACCACCACCACCAGUGCAUUCUCCCCCGCCACCUUAUUACUACAAAUCUCCGCCGCCACCAAAGUAUUCUCCCCCGCCACCUUAUUAUUACAAAUCUCCGCCGCCACCAAAGCAUUCUCCUCCACCACCUUACUACUACAAAUCUCCACCACCACCAAACCAUUCUCCCCCACCACCUUACUACUAUAAGUCACCACCACCACCAAAGCAUUCUCCCCCACCUCCUUAUUACUACAAAUCUCCACCACCACCAAUGUAUUCUCCACCACCACCUUACUAAUACAAAUCUCCGCCAUCGCCAUCUCUAUCCCCGCCUCCAUCUUACAUUUAUAAAUUCCCACAACCAUCAUCUAUACCACCUCCACCAUGACCUCUAUCACGGUCAUUAUUGCUUCCUUACUACUCCAAGUCACCGCCAACUCCUUUAUCUCCACCUUCACCGUAUUACUACAAUCACCCCCACCUCCCAAAGACUACUACGUUCAGUAUCCCUUCUUGAAACAAGUUUAAAAUUCAAUAAGAAUAAAUUUGUUCCUUUGGUUGCCUUUUUUUUUAAUUUUUUACUAAGUUCAAUGCCCCUUCUUGAAACAAGUUUCAAAUUCAAUAAGAAUAAAUUUGUUCCUUUGGUUGCCUUUUUAUGCUUUUUUGUGUCAAUUUUUUUACAAAUAAUUUGUAAGAAGCGUUCAGUGCAUCAUUUGUCAUGUGCAAUAAAAAUCUUCUAACUUAAUGUAUCCCCAAAAAAAAAAAAAAAAAUUGUUCUAUAAGAAUUAUUCUAUUGUUUUAUCACAAAUGUGUUGUGGCGCAUAUAAUGCUCCCGGAUGAAGUAAUAUUAUGUCUUGAUGAACAAUCAUGCACAACAAUGAUCAUGUACAUAGUUCUUCCAACGUCAUGAUAAUGUCCAUGCACAUAAUAACAAACUUCUUCCUCAUAAUAUCAAAGAAAAUGAAGAUACAAGCCUCUUAUUCUUUAGUCAUUCACUCAAACAACAUUGUUUUAACUUAGGUUUUGAUCAAUCUUAAUGCUAAUAAAUGCUAACUACAUAUCAAAUACAAGAUCAACAAAAACCAGAUUUUAAAUUAAUCAGAAAAACAAACACUAGACUUAACCAAGCAGUUAAGCUUUAUUAUUCUCCCUCAGUAAAGGAUACAAAGAUGUAGGUGGAUUACAAGCUAUCACUGAAAAAAUAGAAAUCAUCUAAAAUGGUGAACAAAUGAGCUCUAAAUCUGUUGCACUCAUUUGUUCAACUAAGCAAUGAAAUUACCCUUUUCUAUUUUAACUGCUUGUCUACUUUAACACGGCAACUUUAAAUAACAACCUUCAACUUGAAAAAUUUGAGUAACCAGAGCCAUCAAUAACGGUAAAUCUUGACAAAAAUUUUAGUUUAAUUAAGGCCAUAAACAUAAUAUUAAAUAAUAAAAAAAAAAGGCCAUAAACAUAGUGUUGAAAUACCAUUAUACCUGUGAACGAACUUUUGAUGGUUAUUAAACUCAUGAACCCUCAAUUUUUGUAUUAUGAAUAUGCUCAUGGCCUAUCUUAGGUCUCCUCUAUGAACCACUUUUUUUUUAAAAAAAUUAUAUUCAUUAUGAUACUAAGGUAUAAGUAGAAGUAAAGUUCUUUUAAUAUUUUUGUAACCAGGAUGUGACAACCUAGGUGAUACGUGAAUUGGUUAUUUGCACAUUUUGCUACAUUUUUGUGAGUUUGCUUGCUGGUUUUCUCUUUGUUCCAACAAUUCACACAUAGGAUAAUCUCAUUUUAACAAAGAAAGAUACCACUAAAAUACAACAAAACAUGAUCAAUUCUAAUAUACUAGAAAACUUUUUUUUUUUGUUUGCCUUUUCAUAUAUUAGAGUUGUGUUUUUGUUAUCUUAUAGUGGCAUCUAUGCAGUUUAACUAAAUGAGAAUAUUCUCAUUUGAGAAUUAUUAAUAAGAGAGUAGUAGACAAAUGAUACCCAACUAUACUGCUUCACUAUUAACAACACAUCCAAUUGAGUAAUGAUAGAGAGUCAAUUCUAUCACCAAAUGAAAGCAAACAAAAGCUGAAAUAUUUUAGUGAAUAUCUUUAAAGUUUGAAUUAAUAAUAAAAUUGUCCCAAAAAACUGUCUUAAUGGAACUAAUGUGCGAUUUAUUUGUAGGGUGAAUAAAUAUCAUUUUCCAGAAAAAAAUAUAGUCAAAAUAUGGAAAGCUUGUUCUGCAAGUGGUUGAUAUUGAUGUACAUUAAUGUCAAAGAUACAUUAAGUGCAUGCCAAAUUCUAUUAUAAAAUUUAUAAAUGUAUAAGUAGAAGAUUUUAUAAAUUAAUUCCUGUAAAACGUCGGUUAUAUGAAUAAAUGGUGAAGAGAAAGCUGUAAUAAUUAUCGUAAUUACAAUUUUCUUGAGCACGCUUUGACGUACGAUUAACAAAAAAGGUCUGUAUAUGAGCAAUCGGCCGUACAUUAUCUUAACCACCUGAUUUUGUUUUUUUUUUUUGUAAUUUCAAUCUUGGCCGUUGGAGUCAAUGAAAAGAUCGUUCAAAUGGUAGAGAUUUGUCUAUUUGAUUAUUAACAUUAUGCUUCCCGAUGGUUAUCAAAAACCCAAACAAAUUAAAGAGUUAAAACUUUUAGCACAUAAGUCCGAAUUGUUUCAAAUUUAUGUUGUUUAAUCACUAGUGAGUCUCAAAAAAUAAAUUUAUUUUAAUAUUAUAUAUUUUAUUUAAAAGAAUUAAUUUUUUAUAUCAUUUAUUUUAUUAAAAAUAAAUAUUAUUGAAUACUAAUUAUUCUCAUUUUAUUUAAUAUUAUUUAGUUAUAGGCUUAUUAUUAUAUUUAAUUGUUCAAAAAACUAAAAAAAUUUAAAUAAAAUAAAGUAAUUGAUGGUUGUCGAAGCCAACAAAAAUAAAUUCCUACUCUAAAUAAAUUGUGUAUAGUGAUUGAGCAGGGUCGUGUCCACAGAGAUCGGUAAUUAUUUAAAUCCUUUUGAAACGUAAAACGUAAAAUGGGGGAAUUGUUGACAAUAAUAAAAAUCAAAUUAAAAUAACAAGAAUGCAAAUUAAAGUUGUAAUUCAAAUUGGAGAAAGCUCUGGUUGAAGGAAUUAACUCAGCUUGAUUCGACUACUGAUCAUUGAUUCAAAUAUAGAUUAUUAUUACUCAUGAAUAGACCGGUUAUAGCUACUGAGACCCUCUAAUAGCCAAUCUCUCCUUAACUAGUCGAUAACCAAGGUACGACCGUUGGAUAUUCCCUAAUCAAUAGACAACCCUAGAUACGAUCAUAGAAUUUAAUCAAUUGACAGCCUGAAAAACCAGAAAGACCCAAAUCCUAAUCAACACAUAUGAUGAUUCAUUUAAAUUAAAUUGUUUAUUCUCACAACACAACUCUCUGCUAUGUCAUUUGUCACAAACAUUAAAUUCUUCAUACGAUGAAUCCCUUAAUUGACAAUAGAUUAAGUUGAUAAUUAAAUAGUGGCCAACUGCUGUACGGCCAAGGCGGAUGUACGGUACAGCAGAAUACAUUCCCUUACUCAACUAACAAAGUCUUUCAUUUAUCUGAAAACAGUUCCAAUUUUGAAAUAUCAGUGUCAAACUUUUCCCAGCAACAUAUUUAUCAUCUCUCCACAUUAUCCUUAACUGACAGCAGCUUGGAAGAUCUUCAAUCAGCAAGUUCAGAAAGCAAUGAACAAGUACCUUCUGUUUCUGCACACACAAAUAAUCUGCAUCAACAAGAGCAUUCUNNNNNNNNNNNNNNNNNNNNNNNNNNNNNNNNNNNNNNNNNNNNNNNNNNNNNNNNNNNNNNNNNNNNNNNNNNNNNNNNNNNNNNNNNNNNNNNNNNNNNNNNNNNNNNNNNNNNNNNNNNNNNNNNNNNNNNNNNNNNNNNNNNNNNNNNNNNNNNNNNNNNNNNNNNNNNNNNNNNNNNNNNNNNNNNNNNNNNNNNNNNNNNNNNNNNNNNNNNNNNNNNNNNNNNNNNNNNNNNNNNNNNCAGCAGAAUAAAAUAUUAUUAAUUUUAUUUUUUUUAUUUUGCUAUCUUACUAAUAAUUGGCAAUAAUAAUAAUAAUAAUAAUAAUAAUAAUAAUAUCUUUAAGGUUAAUGAUUUUAUUUUCUAAUUAAUAUGGAUAAUUUUAGAUUUUUAUAAUAUAUAUGACGAUAAACACGAAAUUAAGUAUAAAACUAAUUCUCAAAAUCCGAUUUUAAAAAUCUACUUUUUCCCUACUUUUUAAAAUCUUCAGUAAGAUAAGGUAAAUUUACCAAAAGUGAUUUCUGAAAAUAUUUAUCAAAUAAUAAAAUUAAUUUGUAACUUUUCAAAAUAACUUUUAAAUCUCGCAAAAAAAAAUCCUAAAUGAGUCCUAAGUACCUAACUUUAUGACGGUCAACAAAUAUGGUAUAAAAGUCUUCUACACCUACUGGGCAUUUGAAUGGGCCAUCUGUCUUAGCUCUUACCUCUUAAAAUGGGCUAAAAAUCAGAGAGUCAGUUAACUAAUAUGGGCUAAAAUUUGGGUACACCUCUCGGGCAUGUUAAUGGGCCAUCAUCUUUCACAGGUUUCUAAAGGGUAAAGGCUUUCUGUCUCCCAAGACUUCGACUAGUGAAAUUUAAUCGAUAUAAAUAUGUAGCUACCUAUAUUUAUAUAAGAAAAUGAUGUUCUCAUAAAUUUGCGUGCAAAGAUUUGCACAAAACGGUGCGUUUUGUGCAGCUUUAAAAAUGCUCUUCGUACGUGCACCAAACAACACACAAGCACGCCAAUUCACAACAUCAUUUUCCCACUCGCGUCUGCCUCCUUUCACUGCAACAAAAACCCAGCAGCUUCGUUCUCCACACAGCAAGAAGUCUCCUUAUUAAUAUAAUAUUAUAUAAUAAACUCAACAGAAGUCUCCUUUCUUCCUCCAUUUUUCCUCACGAGAUAGCUCCGAUCUCUCUCCCUCCGUCCUCCUUUCUUCCUUACAAGACAGCUCGGGUCUCUCUCUCUGGCCUCCUUUCUCCCUCACAAGAUAGUUCGGAUCUCUCUUUCCAGUCUCCACGCCGCUAAUAGUCCCAGUUCUAACCUCUCUCGCCCCGCAGCAACCAUAAGAUCUCUCUCUCACCCGUUUCAAUUCAUUGCUCUAAUUGAAAUCUUUAACUCGUUUAGGACAUUGUGCUGAAUUACCUAUGGAUGGUGGUGGUCUUAUGCUUGAGUGUUGUAAAUUAGAAUCAAAUUAUGCAAAACCUGAUGCCUUUGGGAAUCAUGUUUAUUUCAAGCUUCUAUGUUGUGAUUUGAUUAUUUGAUGAAGCACCUGGAAAAUGUAGUUUGCUCCCUCAAAUUAUUUUACUCUGUUGAAUAAAUUGUAUUUGCCAUUAUUUGAAAAGAAUUUAAAAAAAAAUUACAGCCCCGAAACAUUGAGCUUAUGCUAUAAUUUAAGCAUCUCCCUCAUUUAUAGCACAUUUAUUUUCAUAAUUUACGCGACAAUGGAGAACGGAGCCGAGACUGUUAGUGGCAUGGGGAUGAGAGAGAAAAAUAUGAGCUGUUUCGUGAGGUUUUGUUAGGUUUCGUGAGGGAGAAAGGAGAUGGGAGAGAGAGACGCUGAGUUUUGUUGCUCCCCUCACUUGUGUGUGUUUGGUGUUAAAACUUUGCAGCAAAGAGUGGCUUUUAUACUUUGCACAAAACGCACCGUUUUGUGCAAAGUUUUGUGCAAAGUGUUGUGAGAACAUCAUUUUCCAUUUAAAUAUUGGCUUUUCAUUUUUUUUCAAAUGAGAAUUGAUCCAGUGUGCACCAUCAUGCACAGCACAAGGUAUAUUUUCAUCAGUGGGCGCUAGGUCUCAUAGAUUGGUUCUCUCUAAUAAGAACAUGUCGUCUGUUGUCCCGCGCUAGAUCGAAUGCGUUUUCAAAUUUGUCAAAUUACAUUUUGAGCAUGUCAUAGUGGACGUUAUUACAAAGUCGUCAAUCUCAAUACAAUAAUCAUGACAUCAGGUUUUGAGAAUGUGAAUAAAACUCAUAUUUAUUUGAUAAAAUAUAAUUUAAAAAUAAAAAUAAAAUAUGUAUAUUCUAUAUAAUUUGAUAAUAAAAAAUAGAAAUCUCAUUUUUAUAUUGGGUUGGGAAUGAGGAUUCCUAUUUCUUGAACUGACUUUUAUAUCUCUCUAUUUUUUUCAUAUUUUUUAAAUUAUUCUCGUUUAAAUCACAAUUAAUUUGAUUACUGCUGUACGGCCAAGGCGGAUGCAAUAGAAUUGCACCUACAAAAGUAAAACAUAAGUAAAUCACUAUUAUUAAGUGCAAAACAUUGAUAUUAAGGGAAGUAAAUAAUGCAAAACUAGUGCAUAAAUUGCACUCUAACAGUAAUCAGUAAUCAGCAUUAAAAAUUAAAUUAAAUUAAAUUUUUUUGUUUUUAAUAUUAUUUAGUUAUAGACUUAUUAUUAUAUUUAUUCGUUCAUAAAACUAAAUAAUGUUAAAUCAAAUAAAAUAAUCAGGAAUGGUUCUUAAAAAAUUAAUAUUAUUUAUUUUAUUUUAUUUAAUAUUAUUUAGUCAUAGCCUAUUAUUCUGUUUAUUUUUUGAAAAUUAAAUAAUAUUAAAUAAAAAUCCCCCCUUUUCACAAUAGAUUCCUCCCUUCAAUACUCUCUCUCUCCUCUCUUUUAGAAUUCUAUUUAAAAUAAAAUACUAAUAUCUGAAAUAUUAAAUUCGUAAUUACAAAAAUAACCAAAAAUACAAAAUACGUUAAACUAAAAACUGCAGGUCCGCAGUUGACAGCACGCGCCCACGCCUUAUCAACAAAGUUCUUCUGACGCUCAUAAUUUCUCCAAGAGAACAAUCAUCCUUAAACAUCAUCUUAUAGCUCAAUUUUAUCAUCAAUCAAUAGAAUUACACCUACAAAAGUAAAACACAAGUAAAACAUUAUUAUUAAGUGCAAAACAUCGAUAUUAAGGGAAGUAAACAAUGCAAAACUAGUGCAUAAAUUGCACUCUAACAAAUUCCCCCACACCAAGAUGAUGCUUGUCCUCAAGCAUAUAACUCAAGACUAAUCUCAAAUCUCCACUAAAUUCUCAUCUCAACUCAUCCAAAAAUAAUUUUAAGCAAGCAUACCUCAAGAAAUUAAGUCGAUCAACAUUCGAGAGACAAGGAUUUUUAAAGCAUAGAAUCUCAUAAGAUAGAAUAAGAACAUUCAACCACCAAGAAGAUCCAUUCAAAAUUCAAGUGCAACAAGAUGUAAUAGCCCUCUCAAUAACUUCACUCCAUGCACUCAAAGUGUUUAGGGUAUCAUUUAUGCACUCAAAUCAAAUCAAAGAAUGCUAUUACCAUAAGCUUGCUCAUAUAUCACAUCUCAAUCCACAAAACAUGAAUAAAAUGAAAAAAUCUAAGGGUCUUAAAAGGGUUGUAAUGGGGUUAAAUAGGUUAAAUGAAAAAGAAAGGUCUAUGAAAGAAAAAGAGAUCAAAAUGAGAAGAAUGAACUCAUUGAAUGAACUUAUGAUAUCAAAAUGCUCCUUGGCCGUACAGCAGGAAUGGUUCUUAAAAAAUUAAUAUUAUUUAUUUUAUUUUAUUUAAUAUUAUUUAGUCAUAGCCUAUUAUUCUGUUUAUUUUUUGAAAAUUAAAUAAUAUUAAAUAAAAUAGAAUAGAAAAUGUGAGUCCUUAAAAAUAAAAAUUAUUUUUAAUAUUAUUUAUUUUAUUUAAAAGAAUAAAUUUUUUAAUAUUUUUAUUUUAUUAAAAAAUAUUAUUUAAUAUUAUCUAGUCAUAGGCUUAUUAUUAUAUUUCUUCUUUUAGAAAGUUAAAUAGUAUUAAAUGAAAUAAAAUUACAUUUUAGAAGGUCAUUAGCCAAAGCACAUAAACUUAUAAACAAAUGGAAAUAAAAAAGGUAAAUAAUAUUCAAUAAAAUAAAAUUACAUUUUAAAAGGUCACCAACCAAAGCACAUAAUAUUAUAACAAAAAUGUAAAUAAAAAAGAAAGUAAGAGAUUCAAUGAAAUUUAACAUCACAAAAGACAAUUUCAAAAAUUGGGGGUAGCUUGCAACUGUUGCAAAGUGGCUGGUUCCAUAAUUUUGAGAUAAUGUUUCGGUUUCAAAUAUUGUUAUCGAUACCUAAUUAUAAGUAAUAAAAAAAUAUUGUAUAAUUUUUUUACCAACAUUUACAAUACAUUUUAUUUUGAUUUCUGAAAAAAAUAGAUAAAACACAAAUUAAUUAUUUUAACCCUCUAUUCUCUCAAUAUUUAAACUCGAAUAAUCAGUUAAAAGUUGCUCGAGAAUGUUUAAAAGCCAUUUAAGUAUACCACGUCAUUCAUGUUUUGCAAUCAUUCAAUUGUUAAUAAGUUUCCCAUGUGCUGAAAAUAAAUAAAAAUGCACGUGCAUAUGUCAUAUUGUCUCCGAAACCUCACAGCGGAAUGAGUGUAGUACUUGCAAUGCAUGUACUUUAGACUUUGUAUUUCUCUUAUUUAAAUGAUCAAUAAUUUUUCUUUGUCCUUUAAUUAGACGUCAACAGUCGAAGUUGUGGGCAAGUAGUAGGCUAUAUAUAAUAAUUUCCUGGAGAUCUUCCGUCUUCUAAGACAUUGCAAAUGCCAAACGUGAUAACUAUUUUGAUAAUUCAAAUACUACAUAAAAUAUAUGAAGUGUCAGACAAGUCAAAAGAAUUGAUUCUUCACAAUUGUAUAUACGUAUACACACACUUUGCCCAAAUCCCAUUGUAUCCAGGCUGUAAUUUUUAUAUUAAACGAACAUAUUUUAUUUUAUGUCAGCAAUAUUGAUGCAGGCUGGUGGAACAACAGCUUCAGGAUGGUCAACUACCCUUCGGAUCAUUGCAAGUGGGAUGGCAUCACUUGCAAUUCAGAUGGAACCAUAAUCGGGCUAAAAUUAUCAGGGUAUGAUGUUGACUUCAAAAGGUAGUCUUCGUAAAAUUAUCAUGGUAUAAUAUACGUAUUUAUUUUCGCAUACAUAAAUAAAUAACAAAAUUGUAAUUAAUUGGAUACAACUUCAGCUUUUGGACUGGUUUGUGAAAAUCGGAAAAAUUUAAAAAUGCUCCUCUUGAACAAUCAAAAUCUACUUUAUACGUGAACAAAGGGGAUGAUUCGUAAAGAUAAUUCAUCAAUGUUUGAUUACUUUCAGAAAGAUAGACUUCAUUUGAUCUCGUCCCAAAGCAUAAUUUCACUUUGAAUUUGAAAAAGAAUAAUGAAGUUCAUACGAUGCUGUUGUGACCUUUUUUUUUUGUUUUCUUUUUUUCUCGACGUUGUUUUGUGAAUCAUAAGGGUUAAUUUAGUACGGUGGGUUCGCUUGUAUGAAGCGUACUUAUUGUACCAUUCUGUUGCAAGUAAUGAAAAAACGCUAUAAUUUUUUUUAGGUUUCUACAAGUAUUAUGUUAUCUUAUAUCUAACUGUGCAUCUCUAUUCUUUGCUCUCAGUUCAGGUUCUCUAAAAGUAUAUUAAUUAUGAAAAGCAUUAAAGGUUCCGAAACUCUAUUUUGCGGGGAAAAAGAACCUCCAUUUUUGGUUUUUUAUUAUCAUAAGAGGUUUUACUAUGCUCGUAAUAACUUAAUCGAAAUUAAACAUAUCACUGGUCUACAUUUUUUUAUCAGAUUUUGUGCCUUGCUAAUUAAGAUGAGUAUCACCAUCAAAUCAACAAGCUUAUACCUUCAAAGAAAAAUAGACUAUAAGUCGGGAGAAAGAAGAAGAAAAAAAAAAAGAAGCUUCGCAAUUUAUGCUGUUGGUUGUGAGUUCAUGAAACAAAUAAAAAUAUGAAAUCAAACAUUUAUCCAAAAUUUAAAAUUAAAAAAAAACUCUAUAUCUACAGUAAUCUGUUCAAACCACAUAGGUGGAGCAAUAGAGUUCCAAGACGUGGUUUUAAAACAUGUCUUUGUGAUAAACAAUAUCGUGAUACUUGCGCCAAUUCCCAUGCCAAUAAUUGCCUACAUUUAUCCAAGAUCCAUGGCCAGGUUUAGAAUGUGCUAGUCUUCUUUCACUUUCAUAAAUAACCACUACUAGGUAAUCAGAGUGUCGGUCUAAAUUUUUCGGAGAUACAACGUCAAUGUAUGUGCCCGGAGUUGAAGCUGAACGCGCUUAAAUAUGUUCGGAAUUUGAAGUUGAACGCCUGGAAAAGGAUGCAGACUGAAGAAAGGCAAUUCCUGGAAUUUGUCUUUGGUAAGAAAACAUGGCUGCUUAUGCCCUUUGAAAGACUGAAGAAACCAAAUUGAUUAUUGCUGCAAUUUAGUGGCACGUGUACAAGGAGAGGCAUCCGAUUAAACUUGUUCAUAAAAUUAUUGCUGAUAGUUGCAGCCGAUCUCCAUGAAGUACAAACCCAACGCAAAGAAACAAAGUGUUCGUACAAUUUUAUCCGCCAGCAAUUUCGACCAAGAGACCUUGAUGCAGUUCAGACCAAUUCGCCAGUUGAACAUCAAGUUGCCUAGGCAUUGAGAAUUAGGUCAAUAAAAUAUAUCCUGGGUCACUUACAAAAGAUGAAAUAAGUGAAAAAGGAAAGAUGACGUAAUAAUUUCUUAGUGAGAAAAGUUAGUUAAUUUUCAAUUGCUUUCAUUGUUUUGAUAAUUUUCAAAACAUUUCAUUGCUUUCAUUGCGUAAUUAAGCUUUUUUUGCUUCAAAAUAUUUCAAAUUGUGUUUGUGGGACUACUAAACAAUUAGGACACAACAAUGUUUCGUUCUGGUCUUUUUUUUUUUUUACUUUUUAAUUUAUUUUAAGAAAAUCUUUGUCCAUCUCUCAUCCUGCCAAAUAUAUCGUCUCGUCUUGUUAUCUAGAAUAAUUCUUCAUGCAUCAAUGAGUUUUGACAAAUUUUUAUCUUUUAAAAGUUGUUGUAAUUCAAUAUAGCUAAAAUCUUAAAUACAUACAUGUAGAAUAAUCUAAGCAUUACCUUAUUCGGGGAAAAUCGAGAUUAGAAUCAAUCAAAGCAAUGAUACCUUAUAUCAGUGAGAUAUAUGCAAGACUCACCCAUUGGUACAAACGAAAAUGAUCAAAGUGGAAGCAAAAAUGGAAUCCUCAAAUGUGGUGAUAAUUUAGAUGAUCUCCACUCUCCAUUUGGUUUCAUCUAAUAAGUUAGUGUUUAAUUAAGAAUUUAUUACUCAUUUUAUUAUGAUAUUAAUCAACUGCCGUCCCUUCCAUUAGUUCAUUAUUUUUGAUGGAUUACGAAAGACAGACAAUAAAAUUCUCCAAAACUGUUGUAAGAGUAAUAUUGUAAAAGUUACAUAAAAGUGAGGAUAAGGAUAAUUUGAGGUAUGUUUCAAGAUAUAAAGAUUAAAUAAAUUCUUAACUCAAAAUAAAGAGAUUUAUUUUUUUUAAAAGAGAUUAAAAUGUCAUGAUAAAUAAAUAAGGGAGGUGAUAUUCUGGGCUCUCCCCUGGCUUUUUGUGAUAACAUCUUAAAUUAAUAUAAAUAGUUAAAAUUUUAUUAAAAAAUAAAUUUUUACCUAAUACUCUUUGACAUAGCUAGGAAUAUAGCCUACUUGCAAGAGACUUACAUUCGUUUGCACAGCCCUUUCGUGAAUAUAAAAUUGCUGCCGAAUAAGCAUCUAAUUAAAAGAAUUAGGAAUUUGUCAACGGUAUAAAUUAAAUAUAAAAAACGAGUAAAAGAAUUUGUCAAUGGGAUAUGGGGGGCUAUGGCUUCAAUCGUAGGGGUGGGCAAAUUUCGGAUUCCGAAUCCGAUCGGAUUUUGGAUAAUUCGGAUUGGGAAAAAAUCCAUCCAAAUUCAAUCCGAACCUUAAAUCUGUUUCGAUCCGAGAUAAUUUCGGAUCCGGAUCAGAUUCGGAUGAGUUUGAAUUUCAGAUUAUAUUUCAAGUUCGGAUUAUAUUUUGGAUUCGGAUUAAUUCGGGUUUGGGACCUUUUUACAAUUCUCACAAAAAAAUUAUGAAAUUUAUAAUUAAUGAAAAAUAAUUUCCAUGAUGCUGUCAACAAUAAUUAAUAUUUUGAAAACGCAAUAACGGAAUUUUCAAAAAAAAGAAAAAGAAAACACAGGAACGGUAUUGAUAAAGAAUUUUCAUUAGCCAUUUGUGACUGCUAACUAAAUUGUAACAACUAAGUAAAAUAUAAUAAUAAUAAUAAUACAUGCGGGUAUAUUCAAAGCAACUAAAUCACUUGCGAAUGAUCAAGACAAAUCGUAUAAACAAGUAAAAAAUUCAAAGUUUCAAACGCAAAUCGUCGGGGGCUAUCGGAUUAGUGGAUUACCAUUAACAAGACGAGGUUUAUGUCGGUGUGAGUUGCUCAUUGUGGGUCUGGAUGAUGUCGCGAUGGCUGGGUUUGUGCCAACUAUGAUCCAGCUAGGUUUGUAUCGAAUCUGAUCUCGUCUAGAGGACGUUGUGGCGGCUGGGUUUGUGUCGAAUUCAUUCGGUUUGUCUCGUCGGCGACAUGGUUGUUGGUUGGCUCGUCAGGUUGUGGCCCGUGGGUGUGGUGUGGUUUGUUGUCGUGGAUUGACUUAUCAAAGGGCGUGCGACGAUGGUGUGUGGUUUUGUCAUUUGGAAAUUGAGUUUUGAUUUUUCAUUUUCGUUUUUUUAAAAAAAAAUUUUUGGAUUAUUCGGAUUGAACUGAAUCUUAUCCGAUCCAAAUCAAAUCCGAUCAGAUUACAAAAAUUUCAUCCGAUUGGAUUUUAAAGCAAAUCCAAAUCCGAUCCGAACAAAUUCGGAUCGAAUUGGAUUAGAUCGGAUCUAUCCGAAUCUGAUCCAAUGUCCACCCCUAUUCAAUCGGUUUCUGCAAUGGUUAAUGGCAUAUUUUUGCUCAUCGUCACCACUGAAUCCACUGAUCAUUUGUGCAUGUGAGUUGUUUUUGAGCAUUUAUUUUUCCCUUUAGAAGCAUAAGGAUAAGGCUAGUCUUCUUUUUGGGAGGACUUAUUGCUUCCAUUCGUUAAAAUUGGGCAUGUAAAAUGUCAAGAAAAAAUGGCCUAAGUGGCUAGCUAGAUGAUAUAAUGGAUGGUUACUACUCAAACCUAGCAAUAAAUGAAUGUCCGACAAGCAUUCAAAUGAAUGAAUAAAACCAAUCAGAUUAGAAUAUCUAUUUAUGAUAGAUUAAUGAAAAUACGAUUCAAAUAUAAGGUAAAUAAUCUCUCCAUUAAUUUUUUAUUGUUUCAGGCAGGGUUGCCAAGCCUCUGUCCGGGCUUCUAUAAGCUCAAUUCCAGCUCUCCUAUAUGAUUGAAUUAGAUCGGGCUAGGCCCUCGGACUUUUUAAUUAAAAAAGGUCGAUUUUUAAGUUUAUGAAGUUAAUACACUCACGCUUAUACUUUAAUAUUUUUAUUAUUUGGCUUUUAGAAUAUUAACGUGUAAAUUACUUUUUUUUUUCAAGUGAAAUAAUUAUCACAUUUUGUCUUCUUAGUAUAUAUUUCUACCUUUUUGUUCCUAUAGAUAUUUCCUCAUUUCAUCUUUGGUACUAGAGCGUAGUAAAAAAACACAUGAUUAAAGAUAAAUAUGACAUUUUAACUAACAAAUUAAUUAUUUGUAUCUAAGAUCUAGCUCUAGUGGUAAAGAUCAAUUUUCAUCGAAUUCAAGUCUUGGGUUUGAAUUUAAAUGCAUGGGUAAGUUAAUAAUAAUAAUAAUAAUAAUAAUAAUAAUAAUAAUAAUAAUAAUAAUAAUAAUAAUAAUAAUAAUAAUAAUAAUAAUAAUAAUAAUAAUAAUAAUAAUAAUAAUAAUAAUAAUAAUAAUAAUAAUAAUAAUAAUAAUAAUAAUAAUAAUAAUAAUAAUAAUAAUAAUAAUAAUAAUAAUAAUAAUAAUAAUAAUAAUAAUAAUAAUAAUAAUAAUAAUAAUAAUAAUAAUAAUAAUAAUAAUAAUAAUAAUAAUAAUAAUAAUAAUAAUAAUAAUAAUAAUAAUAAUAAUAAUAAUAAUAAUAAUAAUAAUAAUAAUAAUAAUAAUAAUAAUAAUAAUAAUAAUAAUAAUAAUAAUAAUAAUAAUAAUAAUAAUAAUAAUAAUAAUAAUAAUAAUAAUAAUAAUAAUAAUAAUAAUAAUAAUAAUAAUAAUAAUAAUAAUAAUAAUAAUAAUAAUAAUAAUAAUAAUAAUAAUAAUAAUAAUAAUAAUAAUAAUAAUAAUAAUAAUAAUAAUAAUAAUAAUAAUAAUAAUAAUAAUAAUAAUAAUAAUAAUAAUAAUAAUAAUAAUAAUAAUAAUAAUAAUAAUAAUAAUAAUAAUAAUAAUAAUAAUAAUAAUAAUAAUAAUAAUAAUAAUAAUAAUAAUAAUAAUAAUAAUAAUAAUAAUAAUAAUAAUAAUAAUAAUAAUAAUAAUAAUAAUAAUAAUAAUAAUAAUAAUAAUAAUAAUAAUAAUAAUAAUAAUAAUAAUAAUAAUAAUAAUAAUAAUAAUAAUAAUAAUAAUAAUAAUAAUAAUAAUAAUAAUAAUAAUAAUAAUAAUAAUAAUAAUAAUAAUAAUAAUAAUAAUAAUAAUAAUAAUAAUAAUAAUAAUAAUAAUAAUAAUAAUAAUAAUAAUAAUAAUAAUAAUAAUAAUAAUAAUAAUAAUAAUAAUAAUAAUAAUAAUAAUAAUAAUAAUAAUAAUAAUAAUAAUAAUAAUAAUAAUAAUAAUAAUAAUAAUAAUAAUAAUAAUAAUAAUAAUAAUAAUAAUAAUAAUAAUAAUAAUAAUAAUAAUAAUAAUAAUAAUAAUAAUAAUAAUAAUAAUAAUAAUAAUAAUAAUAAUAAUAAUAAUAAUAAUAAUAAUAAUAAUAAUAAUAAUAAUAAUAAUAAUAAUAAUAAUAAUAAUAAUAAUAAUAAUAAUAAUAAUAAUAAUAAUAAUAAUAAUAAUAAUAAUAAUAAUAAUAAUAAUAAUAAUAAUAAUAAUAAUAAUAAUAAUAAUAAUAAUAAUAAUAAUAAUAAUAAUAAUAAUAAUAAUAAUAAUAAUAAUAAUAAUAAUAAUAAUAAUAAUAAUAAUAAUAAUAAUAAUAAUAAUAAUAAUAAUAAUAAUAAUAAUAAUAAUAAUAAUAAUAAUAAUAAUAAUAAUAAUAAUAAUAAUAAUAAUAAUAAUAAUAAUAAUAAUAAUAAUAAUAAUAAUAAUAAUAAUAAUAAUAAUAAUAAUAAUAAUAAUAAUAAUAAUAAUAAUAAUAAUAAUAAUAAUAAUAAUAAUAAUAAUAAUAAUAAUAAUAAUAAUAAUAAUAAUAAUAAUAAUAAUAAUAAUAAUAAUAAUAAUAAUAAUAAUAAUAAUAAUAAUAAUAAUAAUAAUAAUAAUAAUAAUAAUAAUAAUAAUAAUAAUAAUAAUAAUAAUAAUAAUAAUAAUAAUAAUAAUAAUAAUAAUAAUAAUAAUAAUAAUAAUAAUAAUAAUAAUAAUAAUAAUAAUAAUAAUAAUAAUAAUAAUAAUAAUAAUAAUAAUAAUAAUAAUAAUAAUAAUAAUAAUAAUAAUAAUAAUAAUAAUAAUAAUAAUAAUAAUAAUAAUAAUAAUAAUAAUAAUAAUAAUAAUAAUAAUAAUAAUAAUAAUAAUAAUAAUAAUAAUAAUAAUAAUAAUAAUAAUAAUAAUAAUAAUAAUAAUAAUAAUAAUAAUAAUAAUAAUAAUAAUAAUAAUAAUAAUAAUAAUAAUAAUAAUAAUAAUAAUAAUAAUAAUAAUAAUAAUAAUAAUAAUAAUAAUAAUAAUAAUAAUAAUAAUAAUAAUAAUAAUAAUAAUAAUAAUAAUAAUAAUAAUAAUAAUAAUAAUAAUAAUAAUAAUAAUAAUAAUAAUAAUAAUAAUAAUAAUAAUAAUAAUAAUAAUAAUAAUAAUAAUAAUAAUAAUAAUAAUAAUAAUAAUAAUAAUAAUAAUAAUAAUAAUAAUAAUAAUAAUAAUAAUAAUAAUAAUAAUAAUAAUAAUAAUAAUAAUAAUAAUAAUAAUAAUAAUAAUAAUAAUAAUAAUAAUAAUAAUAAUAAUAAUAAUAAUAAUAAUAAUAAUAAUAAUAAUAAUAAUAAUAAUAAUAAUAAUAAUAAUAAUAAUAAUAAUAAUAAUAAUAAUAAUAAUAAUAAUAAUAAUAAUAAUAAUAAUAAUAAUAAUAAUAAUAAUAAUAAUAAUAAUAAUAAUAAUAAUAAUAAUAAUAAUAAUAAUAAUAAUAAUAAUAAUAAUAAUAAUAAUAAUAAUAAUAAUAAUAAUAAUAAUAAUAAUAAUAAUAAUAAUAAUAAUAAUAAUAAUAAUAAUAAUAAUAAUAAUAAUAAUAAUAAUAAUAAUAAUAAUAAUAAUAAUAAUAAUAAUAAUAAUAAUAAUAAUAAUAAUAAUAAUAAUAAUAAUAAUAAUAAUAAUAAUAAUAAUAAUAAUAAUAAUAAUAAUAAUAAUAAUAAUAAUAAUAAUAAUAAUAAUAAUAAUAAUAAUAAUAAUAAUAAUAAUAAUAAUAAUAAUAAUAAUAAUAAUAAUAAUAAUAAUAAUAAUAAUAAUAAUAAUAAUAAUAAUAAUAAUAAUAAUAAUAAUAAUAAUAAUAAUAAUAAUAAUAAUAAUAAUAAUAAUAAUAAUAAUAAUAAUAAUAAUAAUAAUAAUAAUAAUAAUAAUAAUAAUAAUAAUAAUAAUAAUAAUAAUAAUAAUAAUAAUAAUAAUAAUAAUAAUAAUAAUAAUAAUAAUAAUAAUAAUAAUAAUAAUAAUAAUAAUAAUAAUAAUAAUAAUAAUAAUAAUAAUAAUAAUAAUAAUAAUAAUAAUAAUAAUAAUAAUAAUAAUAAUAAUAAUAAUAAUAAUAAUAAUAAUAAUAAUAAUAAUAAUAAUAAUAAUAAUAAUAAUAAUAAUAAUAAUAAUAAUAAUAAUAAUAAUAAUAAUAAUAAUAAUAAUAAUAAUAAUAAUAAUAAUAAUAAUAAUAAUAAUAAUAAUAAUAAUAAUAAUAAUAAUAAUAAUAAUAAUAAUAAUAAUAAUAAUAAUAAUAAUAAUAAUAAUAAUAAUAAUAAUAAUAAUAAUAAUAAUAAUAAUAAUAAUAAUAAUAAUAAUAAUAAUAAUAAUAAUAAUAAUAAUAAUAAUAAUAAUAAUAAUAAUAAUAAUAAUAAUAAUAAUAAUAAUAAUAAUAAUAAUAAUAAUAAUAAUAAUAAUAAUAAUAAUAAUAAUAAUAAUAAUAAUAAUAAUAAUAAUAAUAAUAAUAAUAAUAAUAAUAAUAAUAAUAAUAAUAAUAAUAAUAAUAAUAAUAAUAAUAAUAAUAAUAAUAAUAAUAAUAAUAAUAAUAAUAAUAAUAAUAAUAAUAAUAAUAAUAAUAAUAAUAAUAAUAAUAAUAAUAAUAAUAAUAAUAAUAAUAAUAAUAAUAAUAAUAAUAAUAAUAAUAAUAAUAAUAAUAAUAAUAAUAAUAAUAAUAAUAAUAAUAAUAAUAAUAAUAAUAAUAAUAAUAAUAAUAAUAAUAAUAAUAAUAAUAAUAAUAAUAAUAAUAAUAAUAAUAAUAAUAAUAAUAAUAAUAAUAAUAAUAAUAAUAAUAAUAAUAAUAAUAAUAAUAAUAAUAAUAAUAAUAAUAAUAAUAAUAAUAAUAAUAAUAAUAAUAAUAAUAAUAAUAAUAAUAAUAAUAAUAAUAAUAAUAAUAAUAAUAAUAAUAAUAAUAAUAAUAAUAAUAAUAAUAAUAAUAAUAAUAAUAAUAAUAAUAAUAAUAAUAAUAAUAAUAAUAAUAAUAAUAAUAAUAAUAAUAAUAAUAAUAAUAAUAAUAAUAAUAAUAAUAAUAAUAAUAAUAAUAAUAAUAAUAAUAAUAAUAAUAAUAAUAAUAAUAAUAAUAAUAAUAAUAAUAAUAAUAAUAAUAAUAAUAAUAAUAAUAAUAAUAAUAAUAAUAAUAAUAAUAAUAAUAAUAAUAAUAAUAAUAAUAAUAAUAAUAAUAAUAAUAAUAAUAAUAAUAAUAAUAAUAAUAAUAAUAAUAAUAAUAAUAAUAAUAAUAAUAAUAAUAAUAAUAAUAAUAAUAAUAAUAAUAAUAAUAAUAAUAAUAAUAAUAAUAAUAAUAAUAAUAAUAAUAAUAAUAAUAAUAAUAAUAAUAAUAAUAAUAAUAAUAAUAAUAAUAAUAAUAAUAAUAAUAAUAAUAAUAAUAAUAAUAAUAAUAAUAAUAAUAAUAAUAAUAAUAAUAAUAAUAAUAAUAAUAAUAAUAAUAAUAAUAAUAAUAAUAAUAAUAAUAAUAAUAAUAAUAAUAAUAAUAAUAAUAAUAAUAAUAAUAAUAAUAAUAAUAAUAAUAAUAAUAAUAAUAAUAAUAAUAAUAAUAAUAAUAAUAAUAAUAAUAAUAAUAAUAAUAAUAAUAAUAAUAAUAAUAAUAAUAAUAAUAAUAAUAAUAAUAAUAAUAAUAAUAAUAAUAAUAAUAAUAAUAAUAAUAAUAAUAAUAAUAAUAAUAAUAAUAAUAAUAAUAAUAAUAAUAAUAAUAAUAAUAAUAAUAAUAAUAAUAAUAAUAAUAAUAAUAAUAAUAAUAAUAAUAAUAAUAAUAAUAAUAAUAAUAAUAAUAAUAAUAAUAAUAAUAAUAAUAAUAAUAAUAAUAAUAAUAAUAAUAAUAAUAAUAAUAAUAAUAAUAAUAAUAAUAAUAAUAAUAAUAAUAAUAAUAAUAAUAAUAAUAAUAAUAAUAAUAAUAAUAAUAAUAAUAAUAAUAAUAAUAAUAAUAAUAAUAAUAAUAAUAAUAAUAAUAAUAAUAAUAAUAAUAAUAAUAAUAAUAAUAAUAAUAAUAAUAAUAAUAAUAAUAAUAAUAAUAAUAAUAAUAAUAAUAAUAAUAAUAAUAAUAAUAAUAAUAAUAAUAAUAAUAAUAAUAAUAAUAAUAAUAAUAAUAAUAAUAAUAAUAAUAAUAAUAAUAAUAAUAAUAAUAAUAAUAAUAAUAAUAAUAAUAAUAAUAAUAAUAAUAAUAAUAAUAAUAAUAAUAAUAAUAAUAAUAAUAAUAAUAAUAAUAAUAAUAAUAAUAAUAAUAAUAAUAAUAAUAAUAAUAAUAAUAAUAAUAAUAAUAAUAAUAAUAAUAAUAAUAAUAAUAAUAAUAAUAAUAAUAAUAAUAAUAAUAAUAAUAAUAAUAAUAAUAAUAAUAAUAAUAAUAAUAAUAAUAAUAAUAAUAAUAAUAAUAAUAAUAAUAAUAAUAAUAAUAAUAAUAAUAAUAAUAAUAAUAAUAAUAAUAAUAAUAAUAAUAAUAAUAAUAAUAAUAAUAAUAAUAAUAAUAAUAAUAAUAAUAAUAAUAAUAAUAAUAAUAAUAAUAAUAAUAAUAAUAAUAAUAAUAAUAAUAAUAAUAAUAAUAAUAAUAAUAAUAAUAAUAAUAAUAAUAAUAAUAAUAAUAAUAAUAAUAAUAAUAAUAAUAAUAAUAAUAAUAAUAAUAAUAAUAAUAAUAAUAAUAAUAAUAAUAAUAAUAAUAAUAAUAAUAAUAAUAAUAAUAAUAAUAAUAAUAAUAAUAAUAAUAAUAAUAAUAAUAAUAAUAAUAAUAAUAAUAAUAAUAAUAAUAAUAAUAAUAAUAAUAAUAAUAAUAAUAAUAAUAAUAAUAAUAAUAAUAAUAAUAAUAAUAAUAAUAAUAAUAAUAAUAAUAAUAAUAAUAAUAAUAAUAAUAAUAAUAAUAAUAAUAAUAAUAAUAAUAAUAAUAAUAAUAAUAAUAAUAAUAAUAAUAAUAAUAAUAAUAAUAAUAAUAAUAAUAAUAAUAAUAAUAAUAAUAAUAAUAAUAAUAAUAAUAAUAAUAAUAAUAAUAAUAAUAAUAAUAAUAAUAAUAAUAAUAAUAAUAAUAAUAAUAAUAAUAAUAAUAAUAAUAAUAAUAAUAAUAAUAAUAAUAAUAAUAAUAAUAAUAAUAAUAAUAAUAAUAAUAAUAAUAAUAAUAAUAAUAAUAAUAAUAAUAAUAAUAAUAAUAAUAAUAAUAAUAAUAAUAAUAAUAAUAAUAAUAAUAAUAAUAAUAAUAAUAAUAAUAAUAAUAAUAAUAAUAAUAAUAAUAAUAAUAAUAAUAAUAAUAAUAAUAAUAAUAAUAAUAAUAAUAAUAAUAAUAAUAAUAAUAAUAAUAAUAAUAAUAAUAAUAAUAAUAAUAAUAAUAAUAAUAAUAAUAAUAAUAAUAAUAAUAAUAAUAAUAAUAAUAAUAAUAAUAAUAAUAAUAAUAAUAAUAAUAAUAAUAAUAAUAAUAAUAAUAAUAAUAAUAAUAAUAAUAAUAAUAAUAAUAAUAAUAAUAAUAAUAAUAAUAAUAAUAAUAAUAAUAAUAAUAAUAAUAAUAAUAAUAAUAAUAAUAAUAAUAAUAAUAAUAAUAAUAAUAAUAAUAAUAAUAAUAAUAAUAAUAAUAAUAAUAAUAAUAAUAAUAAUAAUAAUAAUAAUAAUAAUAAUAAUAAUAAUAAUAAUAAUAAUAAUAAUAAUAAUAAUAAUAAUAAUAAUAAUAAUAAUAAUAAUAAUAAUAAUAAUAAUAAUAAUAAUAAUAAUAAUAAUAAUAAUAAUAAUAAUAAUAAUAAUAAUAAUAAUAAUAAUAAUAAUAAUAAUAAUAAUAAUAAUAAUAAUAAUAAUAAUAAUAAUAAUAAUAAUAAUAAUAAUAAUAAUAAUAAUAAUAAUAAUAAUAAUAAUAAUAAUAAUAAUAAUAAUAAUAAUAAUAAUAAUAAUAAUAAUAAUAAUAAUAAUAAUAAUAAUAAUAAUAAUAAUAAUAAUAAUAAUAAUAAUAAUAAUAAUAAUAAUAAUAAUAAUAAUAAUAAUAAUAAUAAUAAUAAUAAUAAUAAUAAUAAUAAUAAUAAUAAUAAUAAUAAUAAUAAUAAUAAUAAUAAUAAUAAUAAUAAUAAUAAUAAUAAUAAUAAUAAUAAUAAUAAUAAUAAUAAUAAUAAUAAUAAUAAUAAUAAUAAUAAUAAUAAUAAUAAUAAUAAUAAUAAUAAUAAUAAUAAUAAUAAUAAUAAUAAUAAUAAUAAUAAUAAUAAUAAUAAUAAUAAUAAUAAUAAUAAUAAUAAUAAUAAUAAUAAUAAUAAUAAUAAUAAUAAUAAUAAUAAUAAUAAUAAUAAUAAUAAUAAUAAUAAUAAUAAUAAUAAUAAUAAUAAUAAUAAUAAUAAUAAUAAUAAUAAUAAUAAUAAUAAUAAUAAUAAUAAUAAUAAUAAUAAUAAUAAUAAUAAUAAUAAUAAUAAUAAUAAUAAUAAUAAUAAUAAUAAUAAUAAUAAUAAUAAUAAUAAUAAUAAUAAUAAUAAUAAUAAUAAUAAUAAUAAUAAUAAUAAUAAUAAUAAUAAUAAUAAUAAUAAUAAUAAUAAUAAUAAUAAUAAUAAUAAUAAUAAUAAUAAUAAUAAUAAUAAUAAUAAUAAUAAUAAUAAUAAUAAUAAUAAUAAUAAUAAUAAUAAUAAUAAUAAUAAUAAUAAUAAUAAUAAUAAUAAUAAUAAUAAUAAUAAUAAUAAUAAUAAUAAUAAUAAUAAUAAUAAUAAUAAUAAUAAUAAUAAUAAUAAUAAUAAUAAUAAUAAUAAUAAUAAUAAUAAUAAUAAUAAUAAUAAUAAUAAUAAUAAUAAUAAUAAUAAUAAUAAUAAUAAUAAUAAUAAUAAUAAUAAUAAUAAUAAUAAUAAUAAUAAUAAUAAUAAUAAUAAUAAUAAUAAUAAUAAUAAUAAUAAUAAUAAUAAUAAUAAUAAUAAUAAUAAUAAUAAUAAUAAUAAUAAUAAUAAUAAUAAUAAUAAUAAUAAUAAUAAUAAUAAUAAUAAUAAUAAUAAUAAUAAUAAUAAUAAUAAUAAUAAUAAUAAUAAUAAUAAUAAUAAUAAUAAUAAUAAUAAUAAUAAUAAUAAUAAUAAUAAUAAUAAUAAUAAUAAUAAUAAUAAUAAUAAUAAUAAUAAUAAUAAUAAUAAUAAUAAUAAUAAUAAUAAUAAUAAUAAUAAUAAUAAUAAUAAUAAUAAUAAUAAUAAUAAUAAUAAUAAUAAUAAUAAUAAUAAUAAUAAUAAUAAUAAUAAUAAUAAUAAUAAUAAUAAUAAUAAUAAUAAUAAUAAUAAUAAUAAUAAUAAUAAUAAUAAUAAUAAUAAUAAUAAUAAUAAUAAUAAUAAUAAUAAUAAUAAUAAUAAUAAUAAUAAUAAUAAUAAUAAUAAUAAUAAUAAUAAUAAUAAUAAUAAUAAUAAUAAUAAUAAUAAUAAUAAUAAUAAUAAUAAUAAUAAUAAUAAUAAUAAUAAUAAUAAUAAUAAUAAUAAUAAUAAUAAUAAUAAUAAUAAUAAUAAUAAUAAUAAUAAUAAUAAUAAUAAUAAUAAUAAUAAUAAUAAUAAUAAUAAUAAUAAUAAUAAUAAUAAUAAUAAUAAUAAUAAUAAUAAUAAUAAUAAUAAUAAUAAUAAUAAUAAUAAUAAUAAUAAUAAUAAUAAUAAUAAUAAUAAUAAUAAUAAUAAUAAUAAUAAUAAUAAUAAUAAUAAUAAUAAUAAUAAUAAUAAUAAUAAUAAUAAUAAUAAUAAUAAUAAUAAUAAUAAUAAUAAUAAUAAUAAUAAUAAUAAUAAUAAUAAUAAUAAUAAUAAUAAUAAUAAUAAUAAUAAUAAUAAUAAUAAUAAUAAUAAUAAUAAUAAUAAUAAUAAUAAUAAUAAUAAUAAUAAUAAUAAUAAUAAUAAUAAUAAUAAUAAUAAUAAUAAUAAUAAUAAUAAUAAUAAUAAUAAUAAUAAUAAUAAUAAUAAUAAUAAUAAUAAUAAUAAUAAUAAUAAUAAUAAUAAUAAUAAUAAUAAUAAUAAUAAUAAUAAUAAUAAUAAUAAUAAUAAUAAUAAUAAUAAUAAUAAUAAUAAUAAUAAUAAUAAUAAUAAUAAUAAUAAUAAUAAUAAUAAUAAUAAUAAUAAUAAUAAUAAUAAUAAUAAUAAUAAUAAUAAUAAUAAUAAUAAUAAUAAUAAUAAUAAUAAUAAUAAUAAUAAUAAUAAUAAUAAUAAUAAUAAUAAUAAUAAUAAUAAUAAUAAUAAUAAUAAUAAUAAUAAUAAUAAUAAUAAUAAUAAUAAUAAUAAUAAUAAUAAUAAUAAUAAUAAUAAUAAUAAUAAUAAUAAUAAUAAUAAUAAUAAUAAUAAUAAUAAUAAUAAUAAUAAUAAUAAUAAUAAUAAUAAUAAUAAUAAUAAUAAUAAUAAUAAUAAUAAUAAUAAUAAUAAUAAUAAUAAUAAUAAUAAUAAUAAUAAUAAUAAUAAUAAUAAUAAUAAUAAUAAUAAUAAUAAUAAUAAUAAUAAUAAUAAUAAUAAUAAUAAUAAUAAUAAUAAUAAUAAUAAUAAUAAUAAUAAUAAUAAUAAUAAUAAUAAUAAUAAUAAUAAUAAUAAUAAUAAUAAUAAUAAUAAUAAUAAUAAUAAUAAUAAUAAUAAUAAUAAUAAUAAUAAUAAUAAUAAUAAUAAUAAUAAUAAUAAUAAUAAUAAUAAUAAUAAUAAUAAUAAUAAUAAUAAUAAUAAUAAUAAUAAUAAUAAUAAUAAUAAUAAUAAUAAUAAUAAUAAUAAUAAUAAUAAUAAUAAUAAUAAUAAUAAUAAUAAUAAUAAUAAUAAUAAUAAUAAUAAUAAUAAUAAUAAUAAUAAUAAUAAUAAUAAUAAUAAUAAUAAUAAUAAUAAUAAUAAUAAUAAUAAUAAUAAUAAUAAUAAUAAUAAUAAUAAUAAUAAUAAUAAUAAUAAUAAUAAUAAUAAUAAUAAUAAUAAUAAUAAUAAUAAUAAUAAUAAUAAUAAUAAUAAUAAUAAUAAUAAUAAUAAUAAUAAUAAUAAUAAUAAUAAUAAUAAUAAUAAUAAUAAUAAUAAUAAUAAUAAUAAUAAUAAUAAUAAUAAUAAUAAUAAUAAUAAUAAUAAUAAUAAUAAUAAUAAUAAUAAUAAUAAUAAUAAUAAUAAUAAUAAUAAUAAUAAUAAUAAUAAUAAUAAUAAUAAUAAUAAUAAUAAUAAUAAUAAUAAUAAUAAUAAUAAUAAUAAUAAUAAUAAUAAUAAUAAUAAUAAUAAUAAUAAUAAUAAUAAUAAUAAUAAUAAUAAUAAUAAUAAUAAUAAUAAUAAUAAUAAUAAUAAUAAUAAUAAUAAUAAUAAUAAUAAUAAUAAUAAUAAUAAUAAUAAUAAUAAUAAUAAUAAUAAUAAUAAUAAUAAUAAUAAUAAUAAUAAUAAUAAUAAUAAUAAUAAUAAUAAUAAUAAUAAUAAUAAUAAUAAUAAUAAUAAUAAUAAUAAUAAUAAUAAUAAUAAUAAUAAUAAUAAUAAUAAUAAUAAUAAUAAUAAUAAUAAUAAUAAUAAUAAUAAUAAUAAUAAUAAUAAUAAUAAUAAUAAUAAUAAUAAUAAUAAUAAUAAUAAUAAUAAUAAUAAUAAUAAUAAUAAUAAUAAUAAUAAUAAUAAUAAUAAUAAUAAUAAUAAUAAUAAUAAUAAUAAUAAUAAUAAUAAUAAUAAUAAUAAUAAUAAUAAUAAUAAUAAUAAUAAUAAUAAUAAUAAUAAUAAUAAUAAUAAUAAUAAUAAUAAUAAUAAUAAUAAUAAUAAUAAUAAUAAUAAUAAUAAUAAUAAUAAUAAUAAUAAUAAUAAUAAUAAUAAUAAUAAUAAUAAUAAUAAUAAUAAUAAUAAUAAUAAUAAUAAUAAUAAUAAUAAUAAUAAUAAUAAUAAUAAUAAUAAUAAUAAUAAUAAUAAUAAUAAUAAUAAUAAUAAUAAUAAUAAUAAUAAUAAUAAUAAUAAUAAUAAUAAUAAUAAUAAUAAUAAUAAUAAUAAUAAUAAUAAUAAUAAUAAUAAUAAUAAUAAUAAUAAUAAUAAUAAUAAUAAUAAUAAUAAUAAUAAUAAUAAUAAUAAUAAUAAUAAUAAUAAUAAUAAUAAUAAUAAUAAUAAUAAUAAUAAUAAUAAUAAUAAUAAUAAUAAUAAUAAUAAUAAUAAUAAUAAUAAUAAUAAUAAUAAUAAUAAUAAUAAUAAUAAUAAUAAUAAUAAUAAUAAUAAUAAUAAUAAUAAUAAUAAUAAUAAUAAUAAUAAUAAUAAUAAUAAUAAUAAUAAUAAUAAUAAUAAUAAUAAUAAUAAUAAUAAUAAUAAUAAUAAUAAUAAUAAUAAUAAUAAUAAUAAUAAUAAUAAUAAUAAUAAUAAUAAUAAUAAUAAUAAUAAUAAUAAUAAUAAUAAUAAUAAUAAUAAUAAUAAUAAUAAUAAUAAUAAUAAUAAUAAUAAUAAUAAUAAUAAUAAUAAUAAUAAUAAUAAUAAUAAUAAUAAUAAUAAUAAUAAUAAUAAUAAUAAUAAUAAUAAUAAUAAUAAUAAUAAUAAUAAUAAUAAUAAUAAUAAUAAUAAUAAUAAUAAUAAUAAUAAUAAUAAUAAUAAUAAUAAUAAUAAUAAUAAUAAUAAUAAUAAUAAUAAUAAUAAUAAUAAUAAUAAUAAUAAUAAUAAUAAUAAUAAUAAUAAUAAUAAUAAUAAUAAUAAUAAUAAUAAUAAUAAUAAUAAUAAUAAUAAUAAUAAUAAUAAUAAUAAUAAUAAUAAUAAUAAUAAUAAUAAUAAUAAUAAUAAUAAUAAUAAUAAUAAUAAUAAUAAUAAUAAUAAUAAUAAUAAUAAUAAUAAUAAUAAUAAUAAUAAUAAUAAUAAUAAUAAUAAUAAUAAUAAUAAUAAUAAUAAUAAUAAUAAUAAUAAUAAUAAUAAUAAUAAUAAUAAUAAUAAUAAUAAUAAUAAUAAUAAUAAUAAUAAUAAUAAUAAUAAUAAUAAUAAUAAUAAUAAUAAUAAUAAUAAUAAUAAUAAUAAUAAUAAUAAUAAUAAUAAUAAUAAUAAUAAUAAUAAUAAUAAUAAUAAUAAUAAUAAUAAUAAUAAUAAUAAUAAUAAUAAUAAUAAUAAUAAUAAUAAUAAUAAUAAUAAUAAUAAUAAUAAUAAUAAUAAUAAUAAUAAUAAUAAUAAUAAUAAUAAUAAUAAUAAUAAUAAUAAUAAUAAUAAUAAUAAUAAUAAUAAUAAUAAUAAUAAUAAUAAUAAUAAUAAUAAUAAUAAUAAUAAUAAUAAUAAUAAUAAUAAUAAUAAUAAUAAUAAUAAUAAUAAUAAUAAUAAUAAUAAUAAUAAUAAUAAUAAUAAUAAUAAUAAUAAUAAUAAUAAUAAUAAUAAUAAUAAUAAUAAUAAUAAUAAUAAUAAUAAUAAUAAUAAUAAUAAUAAUAAUAAUAAUAAUAAUAAUAAUAAUAAUAAUAAUAAUAAUAAUAAUAAUAAUAAUAAUAAUAAUAAUAAUAAUAAUAAUAAUAAUAAUAGAGAAGAGAAAAAUUAGAUCUAGGGUUUCUUUCUUUUUCUCCAAUCCAAAAAUCCCCCCUUUUCACAAUAGAUUCCUCCCUUAAAUACUCUCUCUCUCUUCUCCUCUAGAAUUCUAUUUAAAAUAAAAUACUAACAUCUGAAAUAUUAAAUUCGUAAUUACAAAAAUAACCAAAAAUACAAAACACGUUAAACUAAAAACUGCAGGUCCGCAGUUGACAGCACGCGCCCACGCCUUAUCAACAAAGUUCUUCUGACGCUCAUAAUUUCUCCAAGAGAACAAUCAUCCUUAAACAUCAUCUUAUAGCUCAAUUUUAUCAUCAAUCAAUAGAAUUGCACCUACAAAAGUAAAACAUAAGUAAAUCACUAUUAUUAAGUGCAAAACAUUGAUAUUAAGGGAAGUAAAUAAUGCAAAACUAGUGCAUAAAUUGCACUCUAACAGUAAUCAGUAAUCAGCAUUAAAAAUUAAAUUAAAUUAAAUUUUUUUGUUUUUAAUAUUAUUUAGUUAUAGACUUAUUAUUAUAUUUAUUCGUUCAUAAAACUAAAUAAUGUUAAAUCAAAUAAAAUAAUCAGGAAUGGUUCUUAAAAAAUUAAUAUUAUUUAUUUUAUUUUAUUUAAUAUUAUUUAGUCAUAGCCUAUUAUUCUGUUUAUUUUUUGAAAAUUAAAUAAUAUUAAAUAAAAUAGAAUAGAAAAUGUGAGUCCUUAAAAAUAAAAAUUAUUUUUAAUAUUAUUUAUUUUAUUUAAAAGAAUAAAUUUUUUAAUAUUUUUAUUUUAUUAAAAAAUAUUAUUUAAUAUUAUCUAGUCAUAGGCUUAUUAUUAUAUUUCUUCUUUUAGAAAGUUAAAUAGUAUUAAAUGAAAUAAAAUUACAUUUUAGAAGGUCAUUAGCCAAAGCACAUAAACUUAUAAACAAAUGGAAAUAAAAAAGGUAAAUAAUAUUCAAUAAAAUAAAAUUACAUUUUAAAAGGUCACCAACCAAAGCACAUAAUAUUAUAACAAAAAUGUAAAUAAAAAAGAAAGUAAGAGAUUCAAUGAAAUUUAACAUCACAAAAGACAAUUUCAAAAAUUGGGGGUAGCUUGCAACUGUUGCAAAGUGGCUGGUUCCAUAAUUUUGAGAUAAUGUUUCGGUUUCAAAUAUUGUUAUCGAUACCUAAUUAUAAGUAAUAAAAAAAUAUUGUAUAAUUUUUUUACCAACAUUUACAAUACAUUUUAUUUUGAUUUCUGAAAAAAAUAGAUAAAACACAAAUUAAUUAUUUUAACCCUCUAUUCUCUCAAUAUUUAAACUCGAAUAAUCAGUUAAAAGUUGCUCGAGAAUGUUUAAAAGCCAUUUAAGUAUACCACGUCAUUCAUGUUUUGCAAUCAUUCAAUUGUUAAUAAGUUUCCCAUGUGCUGAAAAUAAAUAAAAAUGCACGUGCAUAUGUCAUAUUGUCUCCGAAACCUCACAGCGGAAUGAGUGUAGUACUUGCAAUGCAUGUACUUUAGACUUUGUAUUUCUCUUAUUUAAAUGAUCAAUAAUUUUUCUUUGUCCUUUAAUUAGACGUCAACAGUCGAAGUUGUGGGCAGGUAGUAGGCUAUAUAUAAUAAUUUCCUGGAGAUCUUCCGUCUUCUAAGACAUUGCAAAUGCCAAACGUGAUAACUAUUUUGAUAAUUCAAAUACUACAUAAAAUAUAUGAAGUGUCAGACAAGUCAAAAGAAUUGAUUCUUCACAAUUGUAUAUACGUAUACACACACUUUGCCCAAAUCCCAUUGUAUCCAGGCUGUAAUUUUUAUAUUAAACGAACAUAUUUUAUUUUAUGUCAGCAAUAUUGAUGCAGGCUGGGGGAACAACAGCUUCAGGAUGGUCAACUACCCUUCGGAUCAUUGCAAGUGGGAUGGCAUCACUUGCAAUUCAGAUGGAAGCAUAAUCAGGCUAAAAUUAUCAUGGUGUGAUGUUGACUUCAAAAGGUAAUCUUCGUAAAAUUAUCAUGGUAUAAUAUACGUAUUUAUUUUCGCAUACAUAAAUAAAUAACAAAAUUGUAAUUAAUUGGAUACAGCUUCAGCUUUUGGACUGGUUUGUGAAAAUCAGAAAAAUUUAAAAAUGCUCCUCUUGAACAAUCAAAAUCUACUUUAUACGUGAACAAAGGGGAUGAUUCGUAAAGAUAGUUCAUCAAUGUUUGAUUGCUUUCAAGCGUGUCGAUUACUUUCAGAAAGAAAGACUUCAUUUGAUCUCGUCACAAAACAUAAUUUCACUUUGAAUUUGAAAAAGAAUAAUGAAGUUCAUACAAGUGCUGUUAUGACCUUUUUUUUUUUGUUUUCUUUUUUUCUCGACGUUGUUUUGUGAAUCAUAAGGGUUAAUUUAAUACGGUGGGUUCGCUUGUAUGAAGCGCACUUAUUGUACCAUUCUGUUGCAAGCAAUGAAAAAACGCUAUAAUUUUUUUAAGUUUCUACAAGUAUUAUGUUAUCUUAUAUCUAAAUGUGCAUCUCUAGUCUUUGCUCUCAGUUCAGGUUCUCUAAAAGUAUAUUAAUUAUGAAAAGCAUUAAAGGUUCCGAAACUCUAUUUUGCGGGGAAAAAGAACCUCCAUUUUUGGUUUUUUAUUAUAUGAGAUUUUACUAUGCUCGUAAUAACUUAAUCGAAAUUAAACAUAUCACUGGUCUACAUUUUUUUAUAAGAUUUUGUGACUUGCUAAUUAAGAUGAGUAUCACCAUCAAAUCAACAAGCUUAUACCUUCAAAGAAAAAUAGACUAUAAGUCGGGAGAAAGAAGAAAAAAAAAAAAAAAAGAAUCUUCGCAAUUUAUGCUGUUGGUUGUGAGUUCAUGAAACAAAUAAAAAUAUGAAAUCAAACAUUUAUUCAAAAUUUAAAAUUAAAAAAAAAACUCUAUAUCUACAGUAAUCUGUUCAAACCACAUAGGUGGAGCAAUAUAGUUCCAAGACGUGGUUUUAAAACAUGUCUUUGUGAUAAACAAUAUCGUGAUACUUGCGCCAAUUCCCAUGGCAAUAAUUGCCUACAUUUAUCCAAGAUCCAUGGCCAGGUUUAGAAUGUGCUAGUCUUCUUUCACUUUCAUAAAUAACCACUACUAGGUAAUCAGAGUGUCGGUCUAAAUUUUUCGGAGAUACAACGUCAAUGUAUGUGCCCGGAGUUGAAGCUGAACGCGCUUAAAUAUGUUCGGAAUUUGAAGUUGAACGCCUGGAAAAGGAUGCAGACUGAAGAAAGGCAAUUCCUGGAAUUUGUCUUUGGUAAGAAAACAUGGCUGCUUAUGCCCUUUGAAAGACUGAAGAAACCAAAUUGAUUAUUGCUGCAAUUUAGUGGCACAUGUACGAGGAGAGGCAUCCAAUUAAACUUGUUCAUAAAAGUAUUGCUGAUAGUUGCAGCCGAUCUCCAGACAAAAUCUUCGUACAAUUUUAUCCGCCAGCAAUUUCGACCAAGAGACCUUGAUGCAGUUCAGACCAAUUCGCCAGUUGAACAUCAAGUUGCCUAGGCAUUGAGAAUUAGGUCAAUAAAAUAUAUCCUGGGUCACUUACAAAAGAUGAAAUAAGUGAAAAAGGAAAGAUGACGUAAUAAUUUCUUAGUGAGAAAAGUUAGUUAAUUUGCAAAGGUCUUAGAUAAUCAAUUUGAUGUAAAAAUAUCAAAAUUUUUUUUAAUCAGUGAAAUAUUCAACCUCUAGUUUCAGCACUACAAAUGAAUUAAAUAGAAUAAUGAUAGAUAUUUUAAAAUUUUAUCCCAAAUGAUGUGAUAUGUAAUGUAUCAUUCAUUAAGUAGUUGAUGAUUUUUUUAUAAAUUUUAAGUGGAUUAAUUAUAUUAUUUUACCAACGAGUAAAUAAAUGUCACAUCAUUAGAGAAGAAAUUUUAAGGUAAAACUUUUCAAAUAUAUAUCACUACUCCAUUAAAUAUGGUAUAAAAAAUCUAAUAGGGACCAAAAAUAUAAAAACCCAUUAAAAAUAAAAAAUAUAAAAGUCAAUUCCUAAUUAGAAGAAUGAAAGUUUGUUUCUCCUACAAUCAUUUCACUAGAUUUUAAAUAAAUUAAUUAAUGAAAAUUUUUAAUAACAAAUCGGUGCCUAAACCUAACGUCUUUUUUUUUUUGGUCUUAUCCACGAGGUAUCCUGGGGAGGGCCCCAACUGUGGGAGGCACCUUUAAGCCCGUACCACAACCCAGACUAGAAGUCCCCGCUCGAACCGGGAGGCACAGGUUCUCCCAACAAAGGCGACUUCCCCGCGACUCGAACUGGGGAGCAAACCCAGUCAAGCCACUUAAGGGGACUCCAUUGCCAGUGGAGCCAACACUUUGUUGGUUAAACCUAACGUCUUUGACAGUGCUGCCAAUAUCACUCACAACUUACAAGAAAAUUUUGGUAUUAAAUUUAUUAAUGUUCUCAAGGAAUUUUUAGUUUGACUUUGCAUUCUCAGACCCAUUUGUCACAUAACACGUUAGCAAAGACCUUUAAUGAGAAUAUUAAAACAGCUGUCGAAUAAGCAUCUUGACGACGACUUUUUGACAUAUAUGCAUGCCUCCUUUUGUGAACAAAUUUGAAACAUAAAAGAAAAUUUUGAUCCAUGUGAGAGCUGGAGUAUUUUAUAGCUUUUGACCUCAUUAAUUAUGAGUAAGGGAAUAUUUCUACGUCACUAACGAUUAACAUGAUCACUAUAUAAAGGGAAGCAAAGUAUGUUUAGCAUCAAGUCAGAAAACACAAUUUUUAGGAAAUGGGAACUCUAGGACAGGCGAAGCAAUGGCCUCAAUUGGUUUGUGCUAUGGCAUUUUUGCUCAUAGCCACCACAACCGCAAAGGCAUCAGCUGAUGAUUAUGGCCCAGCACCAUCACCAAAGCAUGCAAAGCACCCUCCAAGCCAUUACAAGCCACCGAAACCACCAAAGCACCACGAGUCACCACCACCAUACUACUAUAACUCACCACCUCCACCAGUACAUUCUCCUCCACCACCUUAUUACUAUAAGUCUCCACCACCACCUUCUCUAUCUCCACCACCUCCUUACUAUUAUAAAUCACCACCACCACCGAAACAUUCUCCUCCACCUCCUUACUACUACAAAUCACCACCUCCUCCUUCUCCCUCUCCACCUCCACCAUAUUAUUACAAGUCUCCCCCACCACCAUCUCCAUCUCCCCCACCGCCUUACUACUAUAAAUCCCCACCACCACCAAAAUAUUCUCCUCCACCACCUUACUACUAUAAGUCACCACCUCCACCAGUGAAAUCUCCACCUCCGCCAUAUUACUAUAAAUCACCACCACCACCAAAACAUUCUCCCCCACCACCUUACUACUACAAGUCACCACCACCACCAAUGCAUUCUCCCCCACCACCUUACUAUUACAAAUCUCCACCACCACCAAAGCAUUCUCCUCCACCACCACCUUAUUACAAAUCACCACCCCCACCACCACCAAAACAUUCUCCCCCACCACCUUACUACUAUAAAUCUCCACCGCCACCAAAACAUUCUCCUCCUCCACCAUACUACUAUAAGUCACCACCUCCACCUGUAAAGUCUCCACCUCCACCACCUCACUACAAAUCACCACCACCACCAAAACAGUCUCCUCCACCACCUUAUUACUACAAGUCACCACCCCCACCAGUAAAGUCUCCACCACAGCCACCAAAGCAUUCUCCCCCGCCACCUUACUAUUACAAAUCACCACCUCCACCAAUGAAGUCUCCACCACCGCCACCUUACUAUAAAUCACCACCACCACCAAAUUCUCCCCCUCCACCUUACUAUUACAAAUCACCACCACCACCAAAGCAUUCCCCCCCGCCACCUUAUUACUAUAGAUCUCCACCACCACCAAAGUAUUCUCCCCCACCACCUUACUACUAUAAGUCACCACCUCCACCAAAGCAUUCUCCCCCGCCUCCUUACUAUUACAAAUCUCCACCACCACCUUACUAAUACAAAUCUCCACCACCACCAUCUCUAUCCCCACCUCCAUCUUCCAUUUACACCGCCACCAUCUACAUCACCUCCACCACCAUCUCCAUCAUUGUCACUAUUGCCUUCCGACUACUCCAUGUGAUCACCACCUCCCGAAGACUUCUAAGUUCAAUGUCCCUUCUUGAAACAAGUUUAAAAUUCAAUAAGAAAAAAUGUGUUCCUUCGGUUGCCCUUUUUAUGAUUUUUUAUGUUAAUGUUUUUAUGAAUAAUUUGUAAGAAGCGUUGGGUGUAUCAUUUGUCAUGUGCAAUAAAAAUUUCUAACUUGAUGUAUCCUAAAAAAAAAGUAUUGUGCCAAAAGAAUUAUUCUAUUGUUUUAUCACAAAUGUGUUGUGGCACAUGUAAUGCGCCUGGAUGAAGUAAUAUUAUGUCUUAAUGAAUAAUCAUGCACAACAGUGAUCAUGUACAUAGUUCUUCCAAUGUCAUGAUAAUGUCCAUGCACGUAAUAAAUAACUUCUUCCUUAUAAUAUCAAAGAAAAUGAAGAUACAAACCUUUUAUUCUCUAAUCAUUUAGUCAAACAAAAUUGUUUUAAUUUAGGUUUUGAUCAAUCUUAAUGCUAAUAAAUUCUAACUACAAAUCAAAUACAAUAUCAGCAAAAAUCAUAUUUUAAAUGAAUCAAAAAACAAACACUAGACUUAACCAAGCAGUUAACCUUUAUUAUUCUCCUCAGCAAAGGAUACAAAGAUGUAGGUAGAUUACAAGUUAUCACUGAAAAAAUAGAAAUCAUCUAAAAUGGUGAACAAAUGAGCUCUAAAUAUGUUGCACUCAUUUGUUCAACUAAGCAAUAGAAUUACCCUUUUCCAUUUUAACUGCUUGUCUGCUUUAGCAUGGCAACUUUAAAUAACACCCUUCAACUUGAAAAUUUUGAAUAACCAGAGCGAUCAAUAAUUGUAAAUCUUGAAAAAAAAAAUUUAGUUUAAUUAAAGCCAUAAACAUAAUAUUAAAUAAAAUGAAAAAAAGGUAGUAAACGUAGUGUUGAACUACUUUAUACUUGUGAACUAACUUUUGAUGUUGAUUAAGAUCAUGGACCCUCAACUUUUGUAUUAUGAAUAUGCUCAUGUCCUAUCUUAGGUCUCCUCUAUAAACCACCUUUUUUUAAAAAAUUAUAUUCAUUAUGAUACUAAGGUACAAGCAGAAGUAAGAUUCCUUUAAUAUUUUUGUAACCAGGAUGUGGCAACCUAGGUGAUACGUGAAUUGGUUUUUUGCACAUUUUGCUAUAUUUUUUUGUGUGUAUGCUUGCUGUUUUUCUCUUUGUUCCAACAAUUUCCACAUGAGGAUAAUCUCAUUUUAACAAAGAAAGAUACCACUAAAUUACUACAAAACAUGAAUUCUAAUAUACUAGAAACUAUUCUUUUUUUUUUUUGCCUUUUCAUAUAUUAGAGUUAUGUUUUUAUCAUCUUAGUGGCAUAUAUGCAUUUUAACUAAAUGAGAAUAUUCUCAUUUCAGAAUUAUUAAUAAGAGAGUAGUAGACAAAUGAUACAAAACUAUGCUGCUUUACUAUUAACAACACAUUCAAUGGAGUAAUGAUAGAGAGUAAAUUCUAACACCACAUGAAAACAAACAAAAGUUGAAAUAUUUUAGCUAAUACGUUUAAAGUUUGAAUUAGUAAUAAAAUUGUCUCAGAAAACUGCCUUAAUGGAAUUAAUGUGAGAUUUAUUGGUCGGUUGUAUCAAUAUCAUUUUCCGGAAAAAAAAAAUUUAGUCAAAAUAUGAAAGGUUUGUUCUGCAAGUGGUUGAUAUUGCUGUACAUUAAUAUCAAAGAUACAUUAAGUUCGUACCAAAUUUUAUUAUAAAAUUCAUAAAUGUAUAAGUAGAAGAUUUUAUAAAUUAAUUCCAGGUAAAACGUCGGUGAUGUGAAUAAAUGGUGAAGAGAAAGCUCUAAUAAUUAUAGUAAUAACAGUGAGAAGCUAGCUCAUCAUCGAGUUGUAAGAUAUAUUUUUGAAUUUUCUUGAACACGCUUUGACGUACGAUUAGCAAAAAAGUCUGUCUAUGAGCAAUCGGUCGUACACAGCUUAACUAAACCAUUGACAUUGUAAUUAAUUGAUGAGCUUUUUCUAAUUUCUAUGAAUCAAAUGCAGAUAUUUAGUGGGCAACUACCAACCCUUGCUUGGCAAAAUAUAGGAAAGAAAAACGUGAAAUUUAUAAAUGUUACAUUUUUUUAGAUGAAUAAUUUUGAGAUAAUGUUUCAGUUUCCGAUAUUGUUAUCUAUACCUAAUUAUAGAUAAUAAAGAAAUAUUUUCUAAUUUUUUUUAUCAACAUUUACAAUACAUUUUAUUUUUAUUUCUAAAAAAAUAGAUAAAGCACAAAUUAAUUAUUUUAACCCUCUAUCUUCACAAUAUUUAAACUCGAAUAAUCAGUUAAAGUUGUUCGAGAAUGUUUAAAUGCCAUUUAAGUAUACCACGUCAUUCAUAUUUUGCAAUCAUCCAAUUGUGAGGAUUCCCAUGUACUGAAAAUAAAUAGAAAUACACAUGCAUAUGUCAUAUUGUCUCUGAACCGCAGAAUGAUUGUAGUACUUGCAAUGCGUGUAUUUUAGACUUUGUCUUUCUCUGAUUUAAAUGAUCUAUAAUUUUCCUUUGUCCUUUAAUUAGAAGUCAGCAGUCAAAGUUGUGGGCAAGUAGGAUAUAUAUAGUAAUUUCCUUGAGAUCUUCUGUCUUCUAAGACAUUGUAAACACCAAACGUGAUCACUAUUUUGAUCAUUCAAAUACUACAUAAAAUAUAUGAAAUGUGAGACAAGUCAAAAGAAUUGAUUCUUCACAAUUGUAUAUAGUAUUAUUUGAUUCUGCCUCCCACCUAUACACACACACACACACACACACACACACACACAUAUACCCUGAGCAGGAUUUACAUUUUGUCUUUACAUUUUCCACAACGCCUUUAAUUUUUACAGUGAUUAAAAAAGGCCAAAAUAUUGAUGUAUUACCUCCAACUACUAUUUAGACUUUGUUCAAAUCCCAUUGUAUCCAGGCUGUAAUUUUUAUAUUAAACAAACAUAUUUUAUUUUAUGUCAGCAAUAUUGAUGACAAGAUCACUAUAUAAAGAGUAGCAACUAGGUUGUUUAUACAAGUCACAAAACAUAAUUUCACUUUGAAUUUUAAAAAGAUUAAUGAAGUUCAUACAAAUGCUAUUAUGGAUUUUUUUUUCUUUGGACGUUGUUUUGUGAAUCAUAAGGGUUAAUUUAAUAAGGUGGGUUCACUUGUAUAAAGCGCACUCAUUUUACCAUACUGUUGCAAGCAAUGAAAAAACGCUAUAAUCUUUUUAAGUUUCUACAAGUAUUAUGUUAUCAUAUAUCCAAAUGUGCAUCUGUAUUCUUUGCUCUCAGUUCCGGUUCUCUAGAAGUAUGUUAAUUAUGAAAAGCAUUAAAGGUUCCAAAACUCUAUUUUGCGGGGAAAAAGAACCUCCAUUUUUGGUUUUUUAUUAUAUGAGGUUUUACCGCGCUCGUAAUAACUUAAUCGAAAUUAAACUUAUCACUGGUCUAUAUUUUUUAUCAGAUUUUGUGACUAACUAAGAUGAGUAUCACCAGCAAAUCAACAAAGCUAAUACCUUUGUCUACUCGUUCAAAGGAAAAUAGAGUACAAGCCGGGAGAGGGGGAAAAAUGCUUAGCAAUUUAUACUGUUGGUUGCGAUAUCAUGCAACAAAUAAAUAUAUGAAAUCAAACAUACAUCCAAAAUUUAAAGUAAAAAAAAAAAAUCUAAAUCUUGAGUAAUCUAGCUGAAAUUCUGUUCAACCCACAUAGGUGGAGCAAUAUAGUUCCAAGACUUGGUUUUAAAACAUGUCUUUGUAAUAAACAACAUCAUGAUGCUUGCGCCAAUUCCCAUUCCGAUAAUUGCCUAUAUUGAUCCAAGAUCCAUGGCCAGGUUUAGAAUGUGCUAGUAUUCUUUCUCUUCCAUAAAUAACCAUUACUAUGUAAUCGGAGUGCGGUCUAAAUUUUUCGGGGAUAAAACGUCAAUGUAUGUGCCGGAAGUUGAAGCUGAAUGCACUUAAAUAUGUUCGGAAUUUGAAGUUGAACGCCUGAAAAAGGGUGCAGACUGAAGAAAGGCAAUUCCUGGAAUUUUUUUUGGUAAGAAAACAUGACUGCUUAUGUCCUUUGAAAGACUGAAGAAACCAAAUUGAUUAUUGCUGCAAUUUAGUGGCACGUGUACAAGGAGAGGCAUCCGAUUAAACUUGUUCAUAAAAUUAUUGCUGAUAGUUGCAGCCGAUCUCCAUGAAGUACAAACCCAACGCAAAGAAACAAAGUGUUCGUACAAUUUUAUCCGCCAGCAAUUUCGACCAAGAGACCUUGAUGCAGUUCAGACCAAUCACCACUUGAGCAUUUGUUAGGAAAUUGGUGGAUGAAGCAGACACGCAUCUAAAAUAAAAUUGGAAGAAAAAUAAAGAACAAGCACAAAAAGGACACCAAGAAAUUACGUGGUUCGACUUUUAGCCUACGUCCACAGACGAAUACAGAAGGAAAAUAUUUUACUAGUGAAAAGAAGUUACAAGUAUUGUGAUAUUUUAACUCACUACCCAAAAUCUCAAUACACCCAAACUCUCAAAACACUAAUCACUCAAGAGUUUAUUAAACUCUUAAUACUCUCAAUUUCCUAUAGGAAGGAAAUGCUUCUCUCUCGAUGGAAUGCUUCAGCUCUUCAUCUGCACUUCUAUUUAUAGAAAAAUAAUGGCCAAGAAAUCAACGAUUUUAGCCCAACAAUUAUGGCUUCAAUUUCGUCAAUCUGUGUGGCUUCAAUUUUGUCAAUCUAGCGUUCAAAAUUUGUGGGUUGUGUUCUCCAUUUUCUUUGAUUUGCUGGCACCAAAGUCAAGUACCAAAUUUGGUGCUGACUUUUAGGUGUUUGCUUUGACAUUCUCCCACUUGGAGAUUAAAUUGAAAAUUAAUCAAUCUCCACACCAUCCUUUCUAUUUCGUCAUAAUCAUGUUGCCUACAUUUCUGCUAGGCCAUAAGAGGAUCUACUUCAGACAAACUUGUCAAUAUUUAUUGGCUUGGUCAAAACAUCUGCUAGGUCUUCCACUACUUCUCGAAUGAAGUGAUACUGACUUCCUAUAUGCUUUGUCCUGGAAUGAAAUACUGAAUUUCUUGCAAUAUGCAAGGCACUCUAACUGUCACAAUACACAUAAAAUUUCUCUUGUUUGUACCCGAGCUUCUCCAAUAACCUUUGUAUCCAGAUAGCUUCCUUGUAAGCUUGUGUAGCUGCCAUGUAUUCUGCUUCUGUUGUAGAUAAAGCCACAACGAUCUGCAGUUUCGAAACCCAGCAUACAACUCCUCCUGCAAGUGUAAACACAUAACCAGUAGUUGAUUUUCUUUUAUCAAUGUCUCCUACAAAAUCUAAAUCCACGUAGCCCCUAAUAGUAAAUUCUUAUCCUCCAUAACAUAAUAUAACAUCUGAGGUUCCUCUGAUAUAUCUCAGAAUCCUCUUUACAGCUAUUCAAUGCUCUCCACCACGAUUCGCCAUGUAUCGACUGACUGCUCCCACUGCUUGUGCAAUGUCUAGUCUAGUACAUAUCAUAGCGAAUAUCAAACUUCCCACUGUUGAUGCAUACGGUACUCGAGACAUCUCCUUCCUCUCUGCUUCAUUGUUAGGACACAUACUUGAGGAUAAUUUGAAAUUAACAGGAAGUGGGGUAGAAAUUGGCUUACGAUACUGCAUGUUGAAGCGUCACAAGAUUUUCUUCAAGUAGUUCUUCUGAGAAAGCCAAAUCUUCAUGUUAUUUCUGUCUCGGUGAAUUUACAUCCCUAGAAUCUUGUUUGCUGAUCCCAAGUCCUUCAUUUCAAACUCUCUAGCUAAUUGUGCCUUCAAUUCUUGGAUUCGAUCUUUGUUAAGGCCUGCUACCAACAUGUCAUCCACAUACAAUAGCAAAAUAAUGAAAUCAUUAUCUUCAAACCUUUUGUAAUAUUCACAAUUGUUUGAACUGAGUCUGUUGUAUCCAAGGCUCAUGAUAAAGGAAUCAAGUCUCUUAUACCAACAUCUCGGCGCCUGUUUGAGAUCGUAUAGAGAUUUGUUCAACCUGCAAACCAAAUUUUCCUUUCCUAUUUCUGCAAAACCUUCUUAUUGGAGCAUAUAUAUUUCUUCUUCAAGUUCUCUAUGAAGAAAUAUAAUUUUCACAUCCAACUGCUCAAGAUAUAAGUCAAAUGUAGCACACAUCGCUAAGACUACUCUGACUGUUGUGAGUCGAACUACCAGAGAAAAUAUCUCGUUGAAGUCAAUACUUUCUUUUUGAACAUAUCCUUUCACCACCAAUCUUGCACGAUACCGUUCCACUUGGUCAUUGCCAUCACGUUUGAUCUUAUAGACUCAUUUGUUUCCAAUAAUAUUUCUUCUACGUGGUAGUGGUACAAGUUCCCAUGUCUUGUUCUUGUGUAGAACCUCAAUUUCUUCCUGCAUUGCUGUCAUCCACAAAGUAACAUCUGAGCUGUUUAAAGUUUCAUGGAAAUUUGAAGACUCUCCAUCCUCUAUUAGAAGACAGUAAGCAAUAUUGAUCUCUGUGACAUACUCCGAGUGCCACACUAGCGGUUGUCUCUCACGAGUUGACUGACGAACUUCUGGAGCCUCGGACUCGACUGGUUCUUGUUCCUCGUGCUCUGGUGCUGCUUUAGAAGAAUCUGAAUCUUCUGGAUUAUUUUCCACGUAUACCUGCACAAUCUCUAACUUUUCUUUUACAGUGCCAUCAUCUCAAUCUUUCCUUUGCAGAUGAUCUUCUACAAAAAUAACAUCUCUGCUAAUGACGAUCUUGUGGGCAGUGGGGUCCCACAGACGAUACCUCUUUACUCCAUCAGCAUAUCUCAAUAAGAUACAUCUUCUAGAUUUUGGAUCUAGCUUUAUUCUUUCUUGGGCAUUGUAUAUCACGUACACGAGACAUCCAAAUGCAUGUAGGUAUGAGUAAUCAGCUGGCUUUCCAGUCCACAUCUUCAUCGUUGUCUUCAGCCCAAUUGCUAUAGAUGGUGACCGAUUUACUAUAUAACAGACAGUUUUGGCUGCUUUUGCCCAGAAUGAAUUAGGUAAACCAGCAGUCCUUAACAUAUCUCUUAUUCUUUCUGUAAGAGUUCUGUUUAUCCACUCUGCCACUCUGUUUUGUUGAGGAGUGUAUGCUAUCAUGAACCGCCUCUGAAUACCUUCUUGCUUACAGAAAGCAAGAAACUCGUCGUUUGUAUACCCUCCACCAUUAUCUGUCCUCAAGCACUUGAUCUUUUUACCAGAUUUAAGUUCCACCCGCGCUUUGUAUUCUUUAAACACUAGAAAAACAUCUGACUUUUUCUUAAUUAGAUACACCAACAUUUCCUAGAAUAAUCAUCAAUGAAAGUCACCAGUACUUUGCACCUCCUAUGGACAUAUCCGGUGAUUCCCAAACAUCAAAAUGAAUCAAGUCUAAAAUGCAGUUACUUCUAGCAACAGAUCUACAGAACUUUAAUCUAUACUGUUUACUUAUAACACAAUGCUCGCAAAAUGGUAAACUUACCGAUUUGAGCCAUGGAAGCAAUUUUCGCUCAGAGAGAAUCUUCAAACUUUGUUCCAACAUGUGGCCAAGUUUGAGGUGUCACAUCAUCGUUGAUUCUUCUCCAUUUGACGCGACACACACAUCAGCCUCCUAUAGUGUUUCUCCUUUAAGCAUGAAUAGAUUAGCAUCGAUCUUUUCUGCCUUCAUCAAUACAAGCGUGCCUUUAACGAUCUUUAUAAUUUCAUUCUCUAUAUGAGUUUUGUACCCAUGGCUAUCCAUUUGUCCCAAAGACAAUAGAUUUUUCUUCAUGCCGUUAACAUGUCGUACUUCCCCAAUUGUGCGAAUUGUACUAUCAAAUAUUUUUAUUUUGAUAGUACCAAUACCAGCGAUCUCCAAGGCAUGAUCAUCUCCCAUAUAUACAGAUCCUCCUGAGAUAGGUUCAUAUAUGAGGAACCAUUCUCUCCGAGAGGUCAUGUGCUAGGUAGCUCCUGAGUUUAUAAGGCAGACAUCAGAUAAUUGUUUUCUGCCUUCUGAAACAGUUGUUGCCUCGCUGUAGAGAAUUUUGCCAUCAUCUGAGGUACUUGCUACACACCCCUGAGCAUUUUAUAACUCGGGUUCUUUGCCUUCUUUUCUCUUCUGAUUACUCCAACACUCUUUCUUGAUGUGCCCUUUCUUACCACAGUUGUAGCAUUUAACAUUCUUCUUACUUCUGGAUUUUGAUCUACCAUGAUUGUGACUCCCACUGGGACCACGUUCCAUUGAUCUCCCUCUCGUCACUGAUAGCGCCUCCGCUUGCUACGAACUUGCUUGUCUGUUUUCUUUAUUUUUUUUGUCUGCUCUCCUCAUUUAAUACGGAGGCUGCAACAUCGUCGAAAACCAGACUAUCCGCUGGAUUUUUGUUCGUCAUGUUGAUGAUGAGUUGAUCAUAUGAAUCUGGUAGACUUUGAAGUAGAAGCUCUGCACGUUCAUUUGCCUCUAUAUUAUGACCCAACGUUGUGAGUUGUGAAAAUAGAGUCUUCAAGGUGUUGAUGUGUCAUUCGAAGAGUAUAGAGUUUCCUCUUCGAAGAGUAUAGAGUUUCCUCUUCAAGAAAUAAAUUUAUCAAAGAUAAAAUGGAGACAAAUGUAAAUAAAAAAAAAUGAAAAAGCAAUAAAUUAUUGAAGUUGUUUGUGAGUUUAUUCGACAGAUAAUGGAUGCGUAUGCCUUACCUGCUAUUAAGAUUAAUUAGCUUCUUCAUUAACCGAAUACGAAAUAUUGAGGGGGAAAAAAACACAUAAUUGAAUCUUGAUUAAGCUAAAAGAAAUAACUCUGUUCAACCCACAUAGGGAGAGCAAUACGGCUACUAGACUUAUCCAUAAAAUGGGGGACAAUACUAUCAUCUCGAAUAUCAUAGAUUCCCAUGUUCUUACCGUUUACUUUCCAUUUAUCAGUGAAUUGUAUUUCUACUUGAGAACAAUCAGUAAAGUAUAUGCAAUUUCGUUCGCAGAUCGAGGAGUCCAAUAUUUCAAUAGAAAAAGAAGAAUUAAGACCCAAGAAGAGUGCUCUAUUUCCCAAAUCCUUGACCUUCGUCCAUGUAUUAGUGGUUAAAUCCACCUCAAAAACCUGAAACUUAUUCGCUCUACUUCGUGUGACAACCACCAAUGCCCCUCCAGAUUCUACCAAAUAUAGUAUUGAAGAGGACAUAAGUAACGAGAUUGACAUCCGUGCCACAACAAUCAAGUUAUUAGGAACGUGACCAGUAAAAUCACAAACAAAUAUAUAACCGAGCCAAUUUAUAGCAUAAAACCUGCCUUUGUGAUAAAUAACAUCAUGAAACCUGUACCAAUUCCCAGUGUCUACAGUGAUCCAAGUUUCUUGGCCUGGUUUAAAAUAAGCUAGUCUUCUUUCACUUCCACAAACAACCAUUACCGUAUAAUCAGAGUGUCGCUCCAAAUUACUCGCAGAAACAACAAAUUUUUUGAAGAAGAAGGGAUGGUCGACGCAAUAUUCCCAGGGCAUAAACGUACGUAUGUUCGGAAGUUCAAGUUGAACCCAUGAAAAGGAUUCAAAAGACUUGCAUUUAGAUUUUGAACAUGGAGUCUCAGAAGCCAACCCUUGGAAGAAAGGCAGUUCCUGUGGGAAUUUGCUUCUGGUAACAAAAUACGGCGGCUCAUGCCCCUUGACAGACUGAAGAAACCACGUUGAUUAAUAUCGCCGCAAUUUAGUGGCAUAUGCAUAAGGAGAGGCAUCUGAUUAAACUUGUACAUAAAUUUUUUGAUAGCUGCAGCCCAUCUCCAUGAAGUACAAACCCAACGAAAAGAAACAAAAUCCUCGUACAAUUUUAUCCGCCCAGCAAUUUCGACCAACAGAUCAUGAUGAAGUUCCGAUCGACCAAUUCGCCAUUUCAGAGGCCACUCGACUAGAGAUUAAUUGAAAUACCCUAACCCCUUAAGACUAAUCUCGCUCUCUCUCUCUUGUUGAAAAUUGAGUAAAAAAAAAAAGAGAGUUGAAAAGUCAAUUUGGAAGAUAUCAUUUGAAUUCAAUUUGGAGAUAGUCGAGAAGUUUGAUAAGCAAUUAGAAGUGGUCAAAACUAUUGAAAUGGUGGCUAUUGAAUGUUGAAAAAUUGGCUUGAUUUUAGGCAAAAUCUUGCCUAUAAAAGGAAGCUCUCAUUUGAGAGCUUGGCAUCCCAAAUCCCAGAGAUGGAAUCCAAGUUUUGGUGAGAAAUUAAGAGGGAGAAAUAUUCUUAAGCAUGUAGUUAUAUUGAAGGAGCAUUUGGCUCCUCAAUACAGGUAUUAUGGGUUUGCUUUGUUAAGGGAUAUUUCUCAAGAUUAUGUAUUUGGGGCUUGGGUGAGAGAAAAUUUAUGAGAGUGUGGUUGUAAUAAUUUUCCACAUAGUGAAUAUUUUUUUUUCUCUGGUUGUCUUGUGACAACGGCCGUGGUUUUUCUCCGGAUUUAGAGUUUUCCACGUAAAUCUUGUGUUGUGUGAUUGGUAUAUUCUCCAUUCAAUUUUUCUUAUUAAUUUGUUGCUUGAUAAAUUGCUUGGAGAGAUCUUGGGAGGAAACUCAAUUUCCUAACAGUGGUNNNNNNNNNNNNNNNNNNNNNNNNNNNNNNNNNNNNNNNNNNNNNNNNNNNNNNNNNNNNNNNNNNNNNNNNNNNNNNNNNNNNNNNNNNNNNNNNNNNNNNNNNNNNNNNNNNNNNNNNNNNNNNNNNNNNNNNNNNNNNUUUUGGCACCUCAAGAAAAUUGUCAAGAAGGUGGAGUGGGCUCGGUAAAUUACUCCAGAAUCAGUAAAGGAGAUAAUGAUAUUCUCGUAGAUAGUGAGUUUCCUUUUGAUAGGAGAUUGGGUUAGUUCUUUUGGCAUGUAAAUCUCCAAGUUGCCAUGAAAGAGAACAUGCUAUGAUCAGCGGGGUACACAAGUUUGCACGCGGGCAUUGGCUUGGUAUAAAUGCAAGGUGUGUGAUGGAAAAGUUAUGUCAUGGCUGAAGAAUUCUCAGGGAAACCAAGCAUGAGAAUUGCACCAUAAUUUUCAGCGGAUAUGUUCGACAUGUGCCGAAAAAAAAAAAUCUUAGAAUGGUUAAUUCUAAGUGUUAUACUCUUUAUGGUGGAGUAUGAUAAUUCUCUAUGUUGAGAAUUAUGACUGUUGGUGAAGACAGUGCUUUGUAACAUUAGUUAUGAAUUUUUUUUUUUUUUUUUAUCAAGGUGGAGAUUGUUGAAAAUUGAUUAAAAAAAAAAGAGUUGAAAAGUCAAUUUGGAAGAUAUCAUUUGAAUUCAAUUUGGAGAUAGUCGAGAAGUUUGAUAAGCAAUUGGAAGUGGUCAAAACUAUUGAAAUGGUGGCUAUUGAAUGUUGAAAAUUUGGUGAGAAAUUAAGAGGGAGAAAUAUUCUUAAGCAUGUAGUUAUAUUGAAGGAGCAUUUGGCUCCUCAAUACAGGUAUUAUGGGUUUGCUUUGUUAAGGGAUAUUUCUCAAGAUUAUGUAUUUGGGGCUUGGGUGAGAGAAAAUUUAUGAGAGUGUGGUUGUAAUAAUUUUCCACAUAGUGAAUAUUUUUUUUUCUCUGGUUGUCUUGUGACAACGGCCGUGGUUUUUCUCCGGAUUUAGAGUUUUCCACGUAAAUCUUGUGUUGUGUGAUUGGUAUAUUCUCCAUUCAAUUUUUCUUAUUAAUUUGUUGCUUGAUAAAUUGCUUGGAGAGAUCUUGGGAGGAAACUCAAUUUCCUAACAUCUCUCUCUAUCUAUAUAUAUAUAUAGUGUAUGUUAACUAGAAAACCUUUUUCAAAUCGGAGGCGUACAAAAAAUUAACAUAGUAAUUUUGUACAUUGCGACAAGAAUCUAGUUAUGAAUUCUACUAAAAUCAGGAAAAGCAAGUCAAUUCCAAAUAGAACAAGAGUGGUAAAAUUGAAAUAACAAAAGUACUAUUCAAAUAAGAAAACUAGUAUGGGCUUGUAUGUAUCUGUCAAUUGGAUUCGGCCAAUAGCCAGUGCACGACCCACCAAAACUAGUGGGCAAUGAUCUCGUUAGCCAUUAUGGUUCUGUCAAUUAUACAUUAUGUGUUAGAUUGAAGACGUAGAAAAGGUGAACUUAAUGAGGAAAAAAGAAAGAAAGAAAGAAAGACGUCGUAAUAAUUUCUUUGUAAUGCUGCUAACCUAAGAUAAAUUGAAUCAAAUAGAAAUAGAACUGGGGUACGUGUGGUUGAGCUUGCUUUUGUUAAAUGGACAUCUCGUUCCCCUCUAAAUAUUCCCCUCUUGCCAUGUUUGCUCGCGGUGAAUUUUGUCAAAUUCUUUGGUUCUUUUCGAACCAGAGACGUGAAAAAAGAUUAAAUAAAUAAAAAAUAAUCAUAAUUUCAUUCUGUUAUUCCACAUUAUAUUUAGUUAUAGUAGGAUAAGGUCAAUCAAGUCAAAUCAAUCAUGAGUUUCAUUUGACUGGAUACUUGAGUUCUAACCCCCUUAAAAAAUAAAAAUGUCAAAAUAUGAAUAGUUUCUAUAUAUUGCUCAAGGAAAAUCAAGAGAAAAAUUAGAAUCAAUCAAGCACGGAGAAUUGCAAGGAGAAUAAUGGAUACUUAAACAAUAUACUGUUUUUAAUUACAAUAUAAUCUCCAAUGAUCUUAGAAACAAAUAAUUACUUAUGAAGCAUUGCAAGUAGUUUAUGUUGAAGUAAAAUAGAAACGUAAUUAAGAAUGAAAAAUACGUCAACAUUGUAGCUGCUUCUAAUUUUAGGCAGCAAAAUAAAUUUGAAAUCAAAUAUACAAACCAAUUUUUUUUAAAAAAAUAAAAUCUAAUCGUAAGUAAGCUAACUAAAAUAAUUAUGUUCAAGCCACAUGGAGAGAGCAAUACGGCUACUAGACGUACCCGUAAAAUGUGGGACAAUGCUACCGCGUCCAAUGCCGUAGAUUCCCAUGUCCUUGCCCUCAUUGGAGCCCCUUUCUACUUGACAAUCAUCAGUGAAAUAUGCCCCUCCUGAUUCUACCAAAUAUUACCGCUGCCCCAACGAAGACCAAGACAUUUAACACUUGUGCCAUAACCGUCAAAUUAAAUUAGAAUCCUCAGCACUAAAAUCACAAACAACUAUCCGCCCACACUUAGCUACAGCUAGAAUAAAACUUAUCUUUGUGACAAAUAACAACAAGCCUCUCCCAUUCCAAGUGUGUACACUGAUCCAAGAUUUUCGGCCUUGUUGGAAAUAACCAUUACUAUGUAAUCAGAGUUUUCCAGGUUACUCAAUGACACAAUAAAUCGUUUGAAGAAAAUGGAUUGGUGAUCUCGUUGAGGAAAUUCCCUAUAUUAUUACUACAACGUGUUCUAAAUGUGGUCGGAAGUUGAAUUUGAACACGUUAGAAAGGAUGCAAAAGAGACUUACAUUGCAAUUUCGAGCGUCAAAUGUUAGAAGCCAACCAUUUGAAGAAAGGCAGUUCCUGCAGGAAUUUGCUUCUGAUAACAAAACACGGUCGCUUAUGCCUUUGAAAGACUGAAGAAACCACAUUUGCUAUUGCUGCAAUUUAGUGGCAGAUGCAUAAGGAGAUGCAUCUGAUUAAACUUGUUCUUUUAAAUGUCAUUAUAUUCAGUUGUUAUUUUGUUUUGUUGACAAUAAUUUGUUUAGGUGUCAGUUAUUUAGGACCUAGUCAAGUAAGUGGUGGACUUAGUCUACGACUUGGUAGGAAUUAUUGCCCACUUACCUUUUUUUCAUGCUUAGAGUUGCCUGUCUUUAGGAAUAACCGUUGUCUUUUUGUUUAUAAAGGUUCAGUAAAUAAAGAUGCAUAGGUAACUCUGAAUUUGAACAACACCGGUGUGUUUCACAGGGAGGUGCAGGGUCUCUCGAACGAUUCUGAUUUAUUUUCUUGCUUUCCUUCUUAAAUAUUUCAUCUUGCAUCCAAAAUGUUAGGCAGGACUAACAAGACUGAUUCAAGCUCGCUGUACCAUGUUCGUAAAGCUGUUGAUAGUGCCAGCCAAUCUCCGUGAAGUACAAACCCAACAAAAAGAAACAAAGUCUUCAUACAAUUAACUAUUUGAAGAAUAAAUGUGACAUUUUAAUUGGAAAAUUAACUAAUUGAAGCCAAGAUCUAGAUCCAGUGGUAAAGUGCAAUUUUUAUAGAUUUCAAGUUUUGCGUUUGAAUUUGAAUGGGUGAGUAAAUUAAUAAUAAUAAUAAAACAAAUUAACUAGUUUUAAUCUACAGAGGUCUUAGAUCAUCAAAUAAUGAUAGAACCUCGAAUUUCAUAAAUUUUAAGUUGAAUGAUUACAUUAUUUCACCAUCUAGUGAAUAAAUGCCAAAUUAUUUAAGAAAAAUUUUGAAAAUAAAAUUUUGAGAUAUAUAUCACUACUCAAUUAAAUGUAGUAUAAAAAAUACAUCAGGGACCAAAAAUAUAAAAAUCCAUUAGAAAUUAAAAAAAAAUAUAAAAGUCAAUUUCUGAUUAGAAGAAUUAAAAUAUCAUUCUCCUAUAAUCAUUUCACUAGAUUUUAUAUAUAUUUAUUACAGCAAAAUUAAAAUAAAAAAUUGGCACCUAACCCUAACGUCUUUGACAUUGCUACCAAUAUCACUCACUCACAACUUACAAGAAUGAAUCUAGACUUAAUUUUCCCAGGGAAUUUUUAGUUUGACUUUACAUUUUCAGACCCAUUUGCCACAUAACACCUUAGUUGGUUAACAAAGCCCUUUCAUGAGAAUAUUAAAACUGCUGUCGAAUAAGCAUCUUAACAACCCCUUUUUUGACAUACAUGCAUGCCUCCUUAUGUGAAGAAAUUUGAAACAUAAAAGAAAAUUUCAAUCGAUGUGAGAGUUGGGAGUAUUUUAUAGCUUUUCUCCUCAUUAAUUAUGAAUUAAGAGAAUAUUUCUACGUCACUAAUGAUUAAAAUGAUCACUAUAUAAAGGGUAGCAAAGUAUGUUUAACAUCAAGUCAGAAAACACAAUUUUAAGGAAAUGGGAACUCGGGGACAGGCGAGGCAAUGGCCUCAAUUGUUUUGUGCUAUGGCAUUUUUGCUUAUAGCCACCACCACCAAGGCAUCGGCUGAUGAUUAUGCCUCAGCACCACCACCAAAGCAUUCUCCUCCACCUCCUUACGACUACAAAUCACCACCUCCUCCUUCUCCCUCUCCACCGCCACCAUAUUAUUACAAGUCUCCCCCACCACCAUCUCCAUCUCUUCCACCGCCUUACUACUAUAAAUCACCACCUCCACCAAAAUAUUCUCCUCCACCACCUUACUACUAUAAGUCACCACCUCCACCAGUGAAAUCUCCACCUCCGCCAUAUUACUAUAAAUCACCACCACCACCAAAACAUUCUCCCCCGCCACCUUACUAUUACAAGUCACCACCACUACCAGUGCAUUCUCCCCCACCGCCUUACUAUUACAAAUCUCCGCCAACACCAAAGCAUUCUCCCCCGCCACCUUACUACUACAAAUCUCCACCACCACCAAAACAUUCCCCACCACCACCUUACUACUAUAAGUCACCGCCUCCACCAGUAAAGUCUCCACCACCGCCACCAAAGUAUUCUCCCCCACCACCUUAUUAUUACAAAUCACCACCUCCACCAGUGAAGUCUCCACCUCCGCCAUACUAUUAUAAAUCACCACCACCACCAAAGCAUUCUCCCCCGCCACCUUACUAUUACAAAUCUCCACCGCCACCAAAGUAUUCUCCCCCACCACCUUACUAAUACAAAUCUCCAUCACCACUAUCUCCAUUCCCACCUCCAUCUUACAUUUAUAAAUUCUCACCGCCACCAUCUACAUCACCUCCACCUCCACCUUUGUCACUAUCACUAUUGCCUCCCUACUACUACAAGUUGCCACCACCUCAUUCAUCUUUGCUUUCGUCGUAUUACUACAAAUCACCCCCUCCUCCUAAAGACUACUAAGUUCAAUGUCCCUUCUUGAAACAAGAUUAAAGUUCAAUAAGAAUAAAUUUGUUCCUUUGGUUGCCUUUCUUAUGAUUUUUUAUGUCAAUCUUUUUAUGAAUAAUUUGUAAGAAGCGUUUAGUGUACCGUUUGUCAUGUGCAAUAAAAAUCUUGUAACUUAAUGUAUCAAAAAAAGAAGUAUUGUUCCAUAAGAAUUAUUCUAUUGUUUUAUCACGUGU
rnacentral:lncRNA from 1 species